GGGUGGAGUGGCUGUUAUGUUUUCUGGGCACUAGAAUGGUGUUUUUGGGGUGUUUUGCUGCCUAGGGUGUGUAUGGACGAAUUUUCUGUGAUGAAUGAUGAAUAUGGGAGAUGGUAACCUUGGCCAAGGGGUGUGAACAUGUAUAUAUAGGCCCAAAAACCCUAGAGAAUCAAGUUAGGCAAUGGAUGAAAUACACAGCAAGGAGGGUGAAUUUGUGGUGUGCAAUGGUCCAAGGAUUAAAAUGAAGUAAUGAUGCAAAGUAUGGAGGGUAAAAUGGAGUGGUAUUUCAGCUAGGGAGCAUGAAUGAUUGUGUACAUUGCAUAGAAAUGAAAAGGGGAGGUGAAAUGUUUCAGAAAUUAGUCAAAGGUGCAGCAACAUGUGUUGCACACGGCAUAGGAUCCUAAAGGUGGCUGAUGGAGCAUCAAUUGGUGCAUGUAAUGGUUGUGAAAGUUGUGUGAAAUCUGAUGGGUGACGGGAACAAGAGGUAUGCAGCAAUUGAGUGUAAUAAUUGAGUGUAUUGAGGCAUGAAAUCAGAAAUAUUGUAGGGGACAAGGGUGAUUAAGCAUGGCAUGGGAAUCCAAAGGGAAUACAAUGGGUUUGCACGGCAAGGGGUGUGAAUUUUGGAGUGACACCCUAUUGUGGCUGAGUUCUUUAUCCUUUGCACAAUAAUUCUUCACAUUCUUAGCCUCAUUAGUCUUCAAUUUCGUCCAUCCACUUUGCUCCAUGCAUUUGCUAUCCAUCCAAACCCGAAACUGCUCCAAAGGCCUCAAAAAUGCAUCUUCUUGCAUACUUUGUCCUUAGAAUCUGAAAACACACAAAAAUGACUUUAAACACUAAAAUAACUAAGAAAACACAACGUAAAUGCGUAAGAACAAGCUAACUAAGUCGCAUAAAUAUGCUCCUAUCAAUAAAUCAAUGUGUGAAGAAUCAAGAAAUUGAAGUAAGGAAACAUAAGUAAUGAUAGUUAAUUAAAGUAGUGUCUAAAUGGACUUAUCACCGAUAAUUAUUCCCGAAAAUAAAUAGUUCAGGAAUAGGGCGUUACAGUGCAUGCAUUUUAUGCCAUAUUUUAUAUAUAUAUAUAUAUAUAUAUAUGUAUAUAAUUGAAAAUGCUAUGACAUGGUUGAGUAUUAGAUUGCAUCAUGGUAUAUCCAUAUGUAUAUUGCACAUAAUUAUUGUGAACGCUUUGAAGUGCAAAGGUGAACGCAGGAGACCCAGGUAAGUUCAGGUGAGUUUAUGGUAUUAGUUGAAAUGAUGAAGUUAUGGCAUGACUACAUGUAUGUUUUAGGCAACUCCGACCUUGUCGUACAAGUUGCAAUGAUAGGCACCUCUGACGCUGUCGUAUAGGUUGUCCAUGAGUCGUACAUGUUAUAAUAGAUGUAGUUAAAGCUCAUUAUCCUGCACCCCAGUGUUAGUGCUCCUCCCGUGGCCAGGGCCUAGCCUUCACGUGAUUGUUCACCUUCUGCACCUCACGCUCACCUUGGAUCCAAGGUAGGUGCCAGCCUGUCGUACAGACGACAUUAGGUGGUUCCGACUCGUAGGUGACUUGCUAUACUUUGCACAGCCUUCACGUGAUCGUAGCACUUGAGCGUAUUUAUUUACAUCGAGCCUGUCGUAUAGACCACUUUAGGUGGUUCCGACUCAUGUGCAGGAAUUGGUUGAUGAGCUAUAUAGAUGACUCCGACUUACGUGCUAGCAUUGAUUGAUGAGAUAUAGGUAAGUCGUACAGGUCACUAUAUGUGACUCUGACUUAUGUGCUAGCAUUGAUUGAUGAGAUAUGGGUGAGUCGUACAGGUCACUAUAGGUGACUCCGACUUAUGUGCUAGCAUUGAUUGAUGAGAUAUGGGUGAGUCGUAUAGGUCACUAUAGGUGACUCUGACUUACGUGUUGGCAUUGAUUGAUGACAUAUGGGUGAGUCGUAGAGGUCACUAUAAGUGACUUCGCCUUACGUGCUGGCAUUGAUUGAUGAGAUAUGGGUGAGUCGUACAGGUCAUUAUAGAUGACUUUGACUUAUGUGCUAGCAUUGAUUGAUGAGAUAUGGGUGAGUCGUAUGGGUCACAUUAGGUGACUCCGACUUGCUUGCUAGUAUGGAUUAUUAAGCACCUGAUUAUUUAUAUUGCUGAUGAGAUGUUUUAUCGUGGUAUACUUCUUGAUUUACUGAUAGUAUACAAUUGAUUUCAUCCUUAUACUUAGUAUGAUUUUCUGUAAACUAAACAAGAUUUACUACGAGGUGUUUUAACGUUUAGAAGAUCUUUAGUAAAACUUUGUUUUCAGGACAGUCACAUUUUCUGUUUUCCAUCCCUCCAGGUUUUAGUAGCUGAGCUUCCGUAUCGACGAGGAUGAUUGGCUUAUUCCAAAAUAAGUGACUACCUUCGAUAGUAUAGUCCAUAUCUUAUUCUACUAUACUUUACCUAUGUUCUAACAUCACAUGUGAAGUGGGUUCAUUCCUACUCACCAGCGCACUCUGGUAUUUAGGCACUCUUAGGUUCAAAUUUAUUCAUAUUUUUCCACACCAUCACACUUUAUGGCUUCGUCACCUUCCAAGUGUCAGCCAGCACAGCUCGAUUCGGAGUCCUUGUUGACAUUUCGGGUCGGGGUGUGUCAUCUCCCCUUGAGAUUUUGAAUGAAUUGAAUCAAAACGUUUCAUGGAAUCUCUACAAAUCAAUUAAACUCCCAUAAAGUCCUUGGAUUUACAAACCCAUUAAAACCUUUCAAAUUCUCAAUUGUAUACGCCCCCUAAAACAAUUUAUGUAAAACCAAAUCUUAAUUAAUUAAUUGAAGAAAAGUUUUGGAAAAGGUUGAUUUUGGAUUUUAAAAUAAUAAAAAAAAAAUUAGUUAAAAAUACUAAAGAGAUCGGCAAAGGUAAAACGAACUAAAAUAAAACGCUUUUGAAAAUCAAAUUGUAAAAGCACUAGGAUUCCAUCACCUUAACAAUCCUAAGUAGUUCUUCCAAUUACUUAUGAAUUACCCAUGCAUAUUUUGAAGGUUAAGUUUUCCUAACAUAUGUCCUACUUAGAACCUCAAACAUAGAACGUAUAUCUAACAUGCAACCCGUCUGGACGUUUGGAUCAAAUAUGAAAAUGAAAGACUCAUUAAGUUUUGUGGAAACCAUUUGAAAAAUCAUGUAACUCUUAAGACGUUGUGUUCAUCCUAAGUGAACUUACAAUUAUUAAGCACAAGAAGCCAACACCAAUUUCAGGAACCUUCCGACCAAAUUGCUUCAAAUUGCUUUUCUAUAUAUCCUAAUGGUCACGAAUCACUAAGACAAAUAAAUAGUAUAAAUAUGGUGAUUAAUAAUUCCAAACAUGCAUUCAUAAUAUCAUAAGUAAAUUGAAAAGAAACUACAUAUUUUUGCUACGACUCAUGGCCUCGCCCUAGCAAAACAGACUCUCUAAGCCAAAUUCUCCAAAGUAGAGUGUAGCAAACCCUAAUGGCCAAAUAGCCUUAUUUAUACUUUUACAAGAUAAAAUCCUACCUAGAAAAGGUUUUAGAAUAAAGCUAGGAAAUAUAAGAAAAUAAUAAACUAGCAAAUAAAAGGUUUCCUAUUUAAAGUCAAUUUCAAACUUUAAAAAAAAAAAAAGACCUUUGACCAACCAAAUCAACUCCGAUUUGGUCCCAAAAGGUCUCUUUUUAAAGCUUAAGUUGUCUCCAACAAAUCCUUAGAAUGAAUCUUCAUCAAAAUAUGUCAUCUUGACUUCCAAAAUACCCAAAACAUCCAAAAACGUCAUUCUUUCUAAAAUGUCAUCUUGACCUCCAAAAUAAUCAAAAUUCGUCGAUUUAAUCAUUUUUUGCUCAAGAGGAAGCCAAAUGACCAUAUACGAAAACAAAAUGACUUACAUGAAAUGCGUUUGUCACCGUUUAUUUGGAGGGGGGGGAAUGACCUAAUAUGAAAAGAUAAUGACUUACAUGAAUUUGUCGCCUUUAUGGUUUCCCGUUCCAAAUAAAUUUGUGGUGUGUCUAACUUUUUUAAUACAUAUAAUUGUUUUAGUUGAUUGGGACAUCACGUGGCAAUAAACCAGUUCUAAUGUAAGUAGACCUGGCAUUCAUGUCGUGUUUUCCGUGUUCGUGUCGUUUUCGUGUCAUACCCGAUAUCUUAACGGGUCGUGUCGUGUAACACCCAUUAAAAUAAACGGGUAAAAUGACCCGACCCGAAAUCGACCCGAUAAUAUUAACAGGUAAUAUGACCCGACCCGUUACCUGUUAAGGAAAAUAUAUUUUAAACCAAUAAAUAAUCAAAUGAAAAACAUAAUACUAAAUAAGUAUAUACAUUCCAUAUUAUCACAUCCAAAACAUAAAAACGCAAUUUUUUUUUAAGUAUAUUUUCGCUUACCUAAAGUCUUUAAUAGUUUUUUAAUUAAUGUAGAAGUGUAAAAAAAUAUAGAAAAAAUAUAUAAACACUCGUAAUGACUAGCUUUUUUCAACGAUCCAACCGUCAAACUUAUUUGUACACAUUCCAAGAUUGCAUACGUAAAAAAUUGUAAAAAAACAAACAUUCAAAUAUUACGUAACGGAACAAAAGUUAUCGACGGUUAUAAACGAAAAAUCACAAUUUAACUGUUAUUUUAGCUCCGAUUUUGAUGAUUUUUUUACAGAUACACUCCUCGACCCUAUAAGAAUGUAAUGAAUAAAUUUGAUCUUUAAUUUAAAGUAUUUACACUAGUAGAUACCACAAAAACUUAUUUUAUACUUAAUAGAAGUAUAAUAUUAACUUUAAGUGUUUGUUUAAUCUAUUGUUUUGACGCAAUAUGCAUUCUACGAAACUUUUUUCAACGAUCCAACCAUCAAACUUAUUUGUACACAUUCCGAGAUCGCAUACAUAAAAAAUCGUAAAAAACAAACAUUCAGAGAUUACGUAAUGGAACGAAAGCUUUCGACGGUUAUAAACGAAAAAUCACAAUUUAACAGUUAUUUUAGCUCCGAUUUUGAUGAUUUUUUAUAGAUACACUCCUCGACCCUAUAAGAAUGUAAUGAAUAAAUUUGAUCUUUAAUUUUAAGUAUUUACACUAGUAGAUACCACAAAAUCGUUUUUUAUACUUAAUAGAAGUAUAAUAUUAACUCUAAGUGUUUGUUUAAUCUACUGUUUUGACGCAAUAUGCAUUCUACGAAACUUUUUUCAACGAUCCAACUGUCAAACUUAUUUGUACACAUUCCGAGAUCGCAUACGUAAAAAAUUGUAAAAAACAAACAUUCAGAGAUUACGUAACGGAACAAAAGUUUUCGACGGUUAUAAACAAAAAAUCAUAAUUUAACGGUUAUUUUAGCUCCGAUUUUGAUGAUUUUUUACAGAUACACUCCUCGACCCUAUAAGAAUGUAAUGAAUAAAUUUAAUCUUUAAUUUAAAGUAUUUACACUAGUAGAUACCACAAAAACUUAUUUUAUACUUAAUAGAAGUAUAAUAUUAACUCUAAGUGUUUGUUUAAUCUACUGUUUUGACGCAAUAUGCAUUCUACGAAACUUUUUUCAACGAUCCAACCGUCAAACUUAUUUUUACACAUUCUGAGAUCGCAUACAUAAAAAAUCAUAAAAAACAAACAUUUAGAGAUUACGUAACGGAACAAAAGUUUUCGACGGUUAUAAACGAAAAAUCACAAUUUCACUGUUAUUUUAGCUCCGAUUUUGAUGAUUUUUUACAGAUACACUCCUCGACCCUAUAAGAAUGUAAUGAAUAAAUUUGAUCUUUAAUUUAAAGUAUUUACACUAAUGGAUACCACAAAAUCUUUUUUUAUACUUAAUAGAAGUAUAAUAUUAACUUUAAGUGUUUAUUUAAUCUACUAUUUUGACGCAUUCUACGAAACUUUUUUUAAUGAUCUAACCGUCAAACUUAAUUGUACACAUUCCAAGAUUUCAUACGUAAAAAAUCGUAAAAAACAAACAUUCAGAGAUUACGUAACGGAACAAAAGUUAUCAACGAUUAUAAACAAAAAAUCACAAUUUAAUGGUUAUUUUAGCUCCGAUUUUGAUGAUUUUUUACAGAUACACUCCUCGACCCUAUAUGAAUGUAAUGAAUAAAUUUGAUCUUUAAUUUAAAGUAUUUACACUAGUGGAUACCACAAAAACUUAUUUUAUACUUAAUAGAAGUAUAAUAUUAACUCUUAAGUGUUUGUUUAAUCUACCGUUUUGACACAAAAUGCAUUCUACGAAACUUUUUUCAACAAUCCAACCGUCAAAAUUAUUUGUACACAUUCCGAGAUUGCAUACGUAAAAAAUCAUAAAAAAUAAAGAUUCAGAUAUUACGUAACGGAACAAAAGUUUUCGACGGUUAUAAAUGAAAAAUCACAAUUUAAUGGUUAUUUUAGCUCCGAUUUUGAUGAUUUUUUACAGAUACACUCCUCGACCCUAUAAGAAUGUAAUGAAUAAAUUUGAUCUUUAAUUUAAAGUAUUUACACUAGUGGAUACCACAAGAACUUAUUUUAUAAUUGAUAGAAGUAUAAUAUUAACUCUAAGUGUUUGUUUAAUCUACUGUUUUGACGCAAUAUGCAUUUUACGAAACUUUUUUCAACGAUCCAACUGUCAAACUUAUUUGUACACAUUCCGAGAUCGCAUACGUAAAAAAUUGUAAAAAACAAACAUUCAGAGAUUACGUAACGGAACAAAAGUUUUCGACGGUUAUAAACGAAAAAUCACAAUUUAACGGUUAUUUUAGCUCCGAUUUUGAUGAUUUUUUACAGAUACACUCCUCGACCCUAUAAGAAUGUAAUGAAUAAAUUUAAUCUUUAAUUUAAAGUAUUUACACUAGUGGAUACCACAAAAUCUUUUUUUAUACUUAAUAGAAGUAUAAUAUUAACUUUAAGUGUUUGUUUAAUCUACUAUUUUGACGCAAUAUGCAUUCUACGAAACAUUUUUUAACGAUCCAACCGUCAAACUUAUUUGUACGCAUUCCAAGAUUGCAUACGUAAAAAAUCGUAAAAAACAAACAUUCAGAGAUUACGUAACGGAACAAAAGUUAUCAACGGUUAUAAACGAAAAAUCACAAUUUAACGGUUAUUUUAGCUCCGAUUUUGAUGAUUCUGUACAGAUACACUCCUCGACCCUAUAACAAUGUAAUAAAUCAAUUUGAUCUUUAAUUUAAAGUAUUUACACUAGUGGAUACCACAAAAUCUUAUUUUAUACUUAAUAGAAGUAUAAUAUUAACUCUAAGUGUUUGUUUAAUCUACCGUUUUGAUGCAAUAUGCAUUAUACGAAACUUUUUUCAACGAUCCAACCGUCAAACUUAUUUGUACACAUUCCGAGAUUGCAAACGUAAAAAAUUGUAAAAAACAAACAUUUAGAGAUUACGUAACGGAACAAAAGUUUUCGACGGUUAUAAACGAAAAAUCACAAUUUAACGGUUAUUUUAGCUCCGAUUUUGAUGAUUUUGUACAUAUACGCUCCUCGACCCUAUAAGAAUGUAAUGAAUAAAUUUGAUCUUUAACUUAAAGUAUUUACAUUUUUUAUAUAUGAGUGAUUGUAUAUAUAUUUUUUUACAUUUUUUACACUUCUACAAUAAUUAUUAUUAAUUUUAUUAAUUUUGCCCUCAAAUAAAAAACAUUAUUCAUGAGGGUUUGAAGGAUUUUAAAAAUCUAAACGAUAAUAUAAGUGUAACAAUUAUCUAUUCGUGAAGGAAUAAUGAUAAAUCACGAGUGUUUAUAUAUUCUUUCACAUUUUUCAUACUUGUAUGUAUGUCUUCUUAGUUCUUGCAUAUACAAAUACUAUACUAGUAUAUUUAAUUUUGGACAAGAAUAUGUUAUGUAAAAUUUAUCCUAGUAAUGAUAAUAAGGAACUCUCAUAAUAAAAAUAAAUAAUGACUAAAACUUUUUUUUAUUUUUUUAUAAUUUAUAUAGAACAAUAAUACAAAACUAUAUAUUUAAUAUAUAAUAUAUUGUAUAUAUUAAUAUGACUAUUGUAUUUUAUAAUAAAUCUUUUAGUAAUUAAACUUUAAAAUUAUUAAAAUAAUUUUUUUCUUAACGGGUCGAAACGGGUUACCCACGUGUUACCCGCGUGUAUACCUGUUAAGAACCCGUUAUUAACGGGUCACCCGAUAGAGACCCGAUAAGUUAUCGUGUUGACCUGAAACCUGUUACUUUCGUGUCGUUUUCGUGUCGUGUCACCGUGUCGUGUCAAAAACUGUCAGGUCUAAAUGUAAGUUUGAAAACUUCAAAAAGAGAUUUGUUUUCCAACCAGUUCGAUUGAAACAAGUCUUGGGUGUGGGUAGUGGUAGACUCACUUUAUCAAUAGUAUAUAUCCAAGUAGUAUAAAUCAAUUAAGAAAGAACAAUUUUCACGAAUAGGAUUAUUGGAUGCUAACCAAAAGAAAAAGGUUUAUUGGAUCAUUGCAUGAGAUAAUCUGACACCCAUGCAUGCAUGAUGCACUUAUUUCCUCACCACCAUACAAAAGAGAAAAGCAAUAAGCAGCUAUAUAUCUAGAGAGAUCGAAAAGCAAGAGACAAGCUAUACAGGAAAAAGGCGUCAUGAAAUUCAACCCCUUUGGGCUCCUCAUAGUCCGCAGGUUAGUAGACUUGUAGAGAAGACUUGCUUAAAAGUGAGGAAUUUCAAGAUUUCGAUUUGGGAAAAAGGUAUGAAAAGUUCUCUCGUUCUUGCUGGGUCUUUAUUCAGCAUAUCAGUCUCUCGCAUUAAAUAAAAAGCUCAUUGGAAUUGCAACUAAUCUUGUUACUUUUUCGUAUGGCUCGUUGGAACAAGGAAAUUCUAGCAAAUUCCUACUACUAUUUUUUAUUUUUUUUCCACAAUUGCUACUACUAUACAUACGUACGUAAGUACAGUUUCUACAAUCGAAAGCCAUCUGGAUUAUUCAAGCAAUACAUGCGUAUGUAAAUCGAUCAUUGGGAUUACAAUUAGCGUUAUGGUAAUUUUUCAUAUAACCUAAGUUAACAUCAUGUGGUAGUGUGAUGGUUAUACUGCAUCGUUACUCAAAAUCUAGAUGAUACUUUGCGGACAUUUCAUAUGUUAAAUCAAUCUAGUUUAGUUUAAAGGCAAAUAAUCUAGUUUAAAGCCGUCUUAUUCAAUGAAGAAAACCCAAAAAUAUCUUUGAACCUUUGACAAAAAAAAAGAAGAAAUAUCUUCAAACCAUCCAAUCCAGAAAGCAAUACCAAAUCUACUCCUAGAUUUUUCAAAAAAAAUGUAAAACCAGUAAAAACUUUGAUGAAAAACCGAUUGCAUGAAAGAAGGAAGAGAGGAGGAGAGGGAGAAGUUGUAGUGAAAUAAGAUGUUGAAGGAGUAGAGGAGGGAUGGUAGAUUUGUGUGUGAGGGAUGUUUGUACGUUUGUGUGAGAGAGAAGACGGAAUGUUUGUGAGGGACGAUUGUGAGGGAUGUGGGCAUGCAAGGUUUGCACCGUGCCCAAAGAAGAAGAUGGGAGAGAUAUGGCAGAGAGAGAAAAGUCGCAUAAAGUAGAUGGGAGAGAAAAGGGAGAGACAACAGUAAGGUGGCAGCAUAGGAAUAUUAGGAUAGGUGAUAGCGAUUUUACCACUUGUAAAACAAAGGGUUAAACCAUAGAAAAUUCUUGUAAGAGAACAAGUGUUUGUAGUAUAGAAUGGCUCAAGCAAGGUCGAUCUCCUCAGGGACUGAUAUAAACAAUUUACGAGUUUUUGUGUAUUUAACUUAUUUAACUCUAAGAACUAAACUAAUUUGACGAAACUAAAUACUACUGGAUGUGACUUAAACAAAUAUCUAAAAUGGGAAUUGGUUUAUAGGAAUAAUGAUUCAACUAAACAAAACAAGUGAAUAUGAAAAUUCAAGAUAAAAUAAAUGAUUGAAGAAAAAUAGAUUGACAAUAUGCUAGAGUUCAACCUUUACCAACAACACUCCUACGUAGCUCUUCCAAUUGCUUAAAUAAUUGAAAACACACAUGCUUUGAAGGUUGGAUUUUCCUUGUGUAUGUUUUACUUGUGACAUUCAAGCUAAAACGCAUACCACUACAUGCAACUUAUUCAUGACAUUUGGAUUAAAUAUAAACAUGAGUGAUUCAUUAAUCUUGGUGAAAAUCCUUUUGUUAAACCAUGUAAUCCCUAAGAGCAUGAUAUUUACCUUAGGAGAGUACAAUCCUCAAUCACAAGAAGCACAACCAAUUUUUACGUGACAUUCGUUCAAAAUUGCAUCCGAUAACUUUUCUAAGCAUCCUAAUGGUGAUCAAGCAUCAAGGUACAUAGAUAGUUUAAUUUAGUGAUUGAAAAUAUCAAAGCAAGCAUGUAACAACACUUAAGCAAUUGAAAAAUAAAUCUACGUAUUCAUGUUGCGGCUCAUGGCCUCACUCUAGCAAAAUAAAUUAGUUACACAUACUUGUAUUAAUACAUAAGAAAUUAUCCAUAAAAAAAUAACAAAGAAAGAAGACACCCGUUUUUGCAAGACGAGCUCUCCGUUCCUUUUGCUCUCUGCUCCUCACUUCCUCUCCUCUGCCUUUCUGCUUCUUCCUCCGCACCGCACUCUUCCGCACUGCCCUCUUUUUCCCCCUUUUAUUUUCUGCCGUGCUCCUCUCUCCUCUCUGUCAUCUUCUGUCCGUGUCCCCCAUUUCUUAUUCUUUUCCUUUUCUUUUCUGCUGUGCUCUCUCCUUUCCCGCUGUCAAUCUGCCCACUCUCUCCUGUCUUUCUACUAUCCCUCUGCUUUUGAUGCCGUGCUCUGCUGUCCUCCCUCCUCUGCCUUUUUCUUUUAUUCUUUUCUUUCUUUUUCCUUCCACUUCUCCCUGUCUGCCAAUCCCGUGUGUCUUCUCUUUUCUUCCUUUCAAUCCUUUUUUUUAUUUCUUUUCUUUUCUCUGUCCUUCUUAUUUGCAGUAGGAGGACUAACCACUUCGUGAUCAAUAUCUUGUCGCUGCUCCUACCUUUUUGCUUGAAAUUGAUCUUAAAACAAAUUUAACUGCAUAUUAUUACAAAGUAAGGUAAAAUGCCACAAUUUUAACACAAAAACAUCACAAAGACUUUAGAAAUGGAUGGUAUAAAUGCAUGAAAUAUAUGAGUGAUCAAAUACCCCCAAACUUGCAUUUUUGCUAGUCCUCUAGCAAAACAAAACACAAAACAAAACCACUCAACUAAGACUAGAUUCAACAACUUAGUAGCCAACUUCUCAAUUUCGAUUUCAGAGAUAAAUGCUAAUCAUGAAACAAACAACCAAGAACUAAGCAAGAGCUCAAAACAUCAUCCAAUAGUUAACCAAAUUUCCUUCAAACGAAAUGUUGAAAAGCCAUGUGUGAGCUAGCCAUGUCAAUGCAAUUCCAAGCUCCUUUAAAUCAUCAUAUGCAAACGUGUGAUCUAUUCACAAGACAUACGCUCAUUCACUCAUAAGUUUUGGUUAAUGUGUUUCACUCAAGUGAUCUCAUUGUACAUGCCGCCAUAUGCUUGCUUGUCCACCUAACUUGCUAUCAAUAUUUAAGUAAUACCUUGGAUCAAUAGGACUUUAUUACGGUUGUAAUGGGGUACACUUUGGUAGUUUUCCAACACCUCAAUAUCACACCACCUCAAAUUGAAAGCAAAAAAAUAAAACCUCGAGCACCUGUUACUCCCCAAAUUUAACUUCAAAAGGAAAUUUAUACUCUGCAGACACAUUUUCAACAAAUCAACACUCUCCAAUUUUCAUAUAUUUCGUUUUUUUUUUUUUUUUUUUUUUUUCAAUUGAAAGAAACAAAUCUGCAAAGCUAUGCAUAAAUCUGCAAAAGCUACAUCACCCAUCAAAUUCAUAUUUCAUUGUAAUACACAUGCUCCAUCCAUCUUUCUACAUAAAUGAAACUCCCAAGAGCACAACCCAUGUAAUAUUUUCUCAAAACAAUAAGGAAUCGAUUUUUGUGUAUGGGCUCAACUCCAAUAUUGGAGCAAGGUAAAGAGAUGUGGCUAACAAACAAAUGGCUUAGUUAAAGGCUCAACGGGCUACUACGGAUAAACAUAGCAUAUAAGGUAGGCAUGAAAGGCUCAAACGAUCCAAAGAUGGCCUAUAUCACUUCCAAGUUAUUACAUGAAUUGAUUAAUGAAUCGAUUAGUAUAAAGCAAGUUCUAGAGAUACAUGUACAGUGAGAUCAUAUGCACAAGAAGGAAUGAGAUUGAUGCAUAAUGGUUCAAUCAUGUAUAGGCUCAAAAACUCACAAGGUUUACAUAAUCUCACAUGAUUCACAUAUGAAACGCUAAAUCAUGCUCAAGUUUCAAAUUGACAAGACUAGGCACAUUUAUUUUUCAAGUUGAUUUCUGGAAAUCACAGUUAACACAAAGACAACGAAAAGAACUUAGACUUCUUGGAAGUAAGAAGGAAAUUAAGAUGAAAUCUCAUCAUUGAAUUGAGAAGCACCUACAAACAACAACAAAAAAAAAAACAAAAACUUUUUUUUUUUAAACAAGAAGUAAACUAACGAAAUGUAUUUCCACCCCCAAACUCGAAUUUCAUGCAAAACAAUGGUUACCCCCCCCCCCACAUUUAAAUCAAACAUUGUCCUCAAUGUUCAAGCAUAAACUCACACAAACAAACAACGAAUAAACAUGACAAGUAUGGCAAAGUAAAAAUUAGACAGAGUAGAGUUUAAGAACGCAAAUCUGGUUUUGGAGAUAAAUGAUCUUGUUAUCUUUCCAUAGCUUUGAUCUCGAACUGGUUUGGAAUUCUGAGCCAGGAAUAUGAAAGUUCCUUGGUUUCAAAUCAGACUCCUUCUGCUGGGUUGAUUUGAUUGUGCAGUCUGCAUUCUUCUCUGCUUGUAUCUUCUGCACGGCGGGCAUGCACGAGGUAGAGGUGUUGGUCUGUUUCUUUCUUCAAUCUUUCCAAGUGCCCACCUCUUGCUUUCUUUCUCCUUGUCCGUAGCUAAGGAUGAAUUGGCAAAUUGUCUCCACAUGCUUCGAGGUAUCAUUUUCACUUCCCUUAUCUGUUCCCUAGGCAGAUGUGGUUGACGAAGAGGAAGCAUAAAAUGAUGAAGAUGAGUACUCGAGAGCAAGGCUAGGUAAGCAAUCAGGAAGGGGUUCCAGGCAGUCGGUUCCAGAUCGGAAGAUUGAUACCAAGUGCUGGCUGAUUGCUCUCUUUCUCCUUGUCCUAAAACAACGACAAGGAGAAGGACAGGGAGAAAGCAUGAUAUGAGAUACUCUUGCUUUCAACCUUCAUGAUAUGAAAUACUUUUGCUUUGGAUGGGUUGUUUGCAGAGGUACCCCAAGGAAUAAGGAACACUGAGUGACUCGAGAGGGUUUGUUGGAAAGGCAUUCUCGGAGAUGAUGGAAGGUUAUGUAUGUCUGCCUUGCCAUGGAGGGUGAAGGUCGACAUUUAUAGGAAAUAAUAACCGGUACUGUUCUUUCACUCUUGUCGGCAACCGUUGGAUGAUUGAACAGUAAACUUCACGUGCUUUCUACUUUACCAUAAAUCAUCGACAGAUUGCCCGUGAUUUUCGUAAGCUGAGUGUGCAUGUGACAGAUGCUGACACGUAUGGAUAAAGCAGAUGCCUCUUCGAUAUCUGGAAUUGGUGCUUCGACAAACUGCCCGUGAUUUUCGCAAAGCUGAGCGUGCAUGUGAGAGAUGCUAACACAUCUGGAAAAGCAGAUGCCUCUCCGAUUUCUGAGCUUGCCUCUUCGAAAUCUGAGCUCCGUCGAGUGCAGAGAUUGCAUGUGAUGAGUGCGGACAAAUCUGGAACAAAGGAUGGCCCGUGGUUUCUGAGCAAGCCCAACUUUUGAGAAAGCUAGCGCCUCUUCGAUUUUUGAAUUGGCCUCUUUGAAUUCUGAGCUCGCCUCUUCGAUAUCUGAAAUCCCGUCGAGUGUUGAUUUUUAUAGAGGCACGCAGUUCAUUUCAAAGCACACUUGAAUUUGCGCUUGUAUAAACUCCCUUCUUGCACUUCUAAUAUCUUGACUUGUCUGAUCUCUUCUUUCUUCAACACCUUUGAAAAUGUCUGGCCCUUCCGACCGUCGUUUUGACUUGAACCUUGGUGAAGAGGCAUUCCCGCCUUCUCUAGACAACAUAUGGCGCCCAUCCUUCAUAUCCCCUACUGGCCCCCUUACCGUUGGGGAUUCGGUGAUGAAGAAUGAUAUGACAGCUGCGGUGGUGGCCCGGAACCUUGUCACUCCUAAAGAUAACAGACUGCUUUCAAAAUGGUCUGAUGAAUUGGCUGUUAAGGAGUCUCUGGCUCUUAGUGUGCAGUGUGUGGGUUCUGUGUCCAACAUGGCCCAACGCCUAUUUGCUCGAACCCGUCAAGUUGAAUCGUUGGCGGCUGAAGUGAUGAGUCUCAAACAGGAGAUUAGAGGGCUCAAGCAUGAGAAUAAACAGUUGCACAAGCUCGCACACAACUAUGCCACAAACAUGAAGAGGAAAAUUGACCAGAUGCAGGAAUCUGAUGGUCAGAUUUUACUUGAUCAUCGGAGGUUUGUGGGUUUGUUCCAACAGCAUUUGCCUUCGUCUUCUGGGGCUGUACCGCGUAGUGAAGCUCCAAAUGAUCAACCUCCGAUACCUUUUCCUUCUGUGGCCCCGCCGACUGCUGAGGCUCCGCUGACUACUGAGACUUCUCCUAAGCAGCCUUUGUGAAGGCUCCCUCUGUUUUUAUCUGCUUAAUGUUCCUUCCUUUUUUAUGAAUGUAAAAAUACCUUGCAUAACUGUCAAUGUUUCAAAAAUAAACCCACACAAAAAACAAUUAAACAAGCAACAAAUAAAAAUAUCAAUCAUGGCAAAAUAAAACUACAGAAAAGGGAAGGUUUUUAGAAACGCAAAUGAUAAUGAAAGGAAUUUUGAACAAUAAACAUAAAAAUGGAAGGAAAGAAAUACAAAAUGAAAUCAAUACACAUAAAGAAAAGGAAAGAAUACACCAAUUUGUGUAGGCGAGGAGAGCAACAAUAAAGAUGCAUUUUUGUUCCAUAAUAGAAUUCCAAAUCAUCCCCAAACUUGUUUCAACACGUCCCAUUAUGCAUAACAAAUGUGUGAGUAACCUGUGGGAUUAAGAAACUUUGCAAGAAGUGGUGGUAGAGAUUGGCAAAAUCAUUACCUGCAUAAGGAAGCAAAAGUAGGACUUAAACACAUAAACCAAAAAACAACAUAAAAAUAGAACAAAAACAUUUAAAAUUAUUCAAACUAAAGAUGAAAGAUAGAAAACUUGGGUUGCCUCCCAAGAAGCGCUUUAGUUACUGUCUAGAGCUAGACAUUCUGUUGGCAGUUUGAUUCAAAUAACAGGUUCCUUCAAAGUGAUGGAAUCCUUGGCAAGAUCAUAUGGAGACUCCUUGUAUAACUUCAAGCGAUGUCCAUUAACUUUGAAGACAAAACCAGUUUGCAUGUUUUGGAUAUCCACAGCCCUAUGAAGAUGGACCUGUACAACACGAUAUGGACCAUUCCAACGUGAUUUUAGCUUUCCUGGGAAUAGUUUCAAUCUCGAAUUAAAAAGCAAAACCUUCUGACCCGGUUGAAACUCUUUACGAAGGAUGUGAGCAUCAUGAAAUUUCUUGGUCUUAUCCUUGUAAAUUUUUGCAUUCUCACAAGCAUCAUUCCUUAUUUCUUCCAGUUCAUUCAAUUGAAACUUCCGCUUCUCUCCCGCUGCUUGGUAGUCAAAAUUGAGGUGCUUAAUAGCCCAAUAUGCCUUGUGCUCAAGUUCCAUAGGUAGAUGGCAAGCUUUCCCAUACACCAAACAAAAAGGAGACAUCCCAAUUGGUGUCUUAUAAGCUGUCCUAUAUGCCCACAAAGCAUCAGUAAGCUUUAAACUCCAAUCCUUUCGAGAUGAACUGACAGUUUUCUCAAGAAUCCUCUUGAGCUCACGACUAGAUACUUCAACUUGUCCAGAUGUCUGUGGAUGGUAUGGGGUGGCUAUGCGAUGGUGAAUAUGAUAUUUGGCACAAAGGGAAGCCAUGGUGCGGUUUAAGAAAUGCGUACCUUCGUCAUUGAUGAUAGCACGAAGUACUCCAAAUCGGGGAAAAAUAGUAUUCUGCAAGAAACCUAACACCACAUAACUUUUGCAUGUUGGAGAAGCUAUUGCCUCCACCCACUUAGAGACAUAAUCAACCGCCACCAAGAUGUAAAGAUUGCCAUGUGAAGAAGGGAAAGGUCCCAUGAAGUCUAUACCCUAAACAUCAAAUAGUUCAAUCACCAAAAUACUUUGUUGGGGCAUCUCAUUUCUCCGAGAAAGAUUUCCAACUCUUUGACACUUAUCACAAGCCUGGCAGCAUAGGUAUGCAUCUUUGAAUAAAGAUGGCAAAAAGAAACCACUCUGUAAAAUCUUGGCCGCUGUCCUUCUUGGUCCAAAAUGACCACCACAUGCAUAGUGGUGAGCAAACUUCAAGAUGCUUUCUUGUUCUUCUAAGGGGACACACCGACAAAUGAUUUGAUCUUGGCAAUGCUUGAAAAGGUAUGGCUCAUCCCAAAAGUAGUGUUUUAUAGUGGAGAGGAACUUCUUCCUUUGUUGGUAACUGAACUCUGAUGGUAUUUCUCCAGAUGCCAAAUAAUUUGCGAUGUCAGCAUACCAUGGUACUUGAUGAGUAACUGCUAGAAGUUGCUCGUCUGGAAAGCUCUCUUGCAGAGGCAAUGAAUCUGCCUCAUCAGUGCUUGCAUUUACUAAUCUUGAGAGAUGAUCCGCCACAACAUUCUCACGUCCCUUUUAUCUAGGAUCUCCAAAUCAAACUCUUGCAAGAGAAGGACCCAUCGAAUCAAUCGUGGUUUGGCCUCUUUUUUAGACAAUAAGUACUUGAGAGCUGAAUGAUCAGAAUACACAAUGACUUUAACACCAAUUAAGUACGAUCGAAACUUUUCAAGAGCAAAUACCACUGCAAGUAAUUCUUUUUCCGUAAUGGCAUAAUUCAGCUGAGCAUUAUUCAAAGUGCGGCUGGCAUAAUAUAUAACAUGGGGGAGCUUGUCACGUCGCUGACCAAGGACAGCACCCACAGCGUAAUCGGAAGCAUCGCACAUGAGCUCAAAUGGAAGGGUCCAAUCUGGAGCUGUUAUAAUUAGGGCUGAUGUGAGAAGAUCCUUUAAUUUGUUGAAAGCAUCAUGACAAUCUACAUUAAAAUCAAAACAAGCAUCUUUAGCAAGUAAAUUAUAAAGAGGACGACUAAUUUUGGAAAAAUCCUUUAUGAAUCUUCAAUAAAAACCAGCAUGUCCCAAGAAAGAUCUCACAUUUUUCACAGAAGUUGGUGGUGGUAAUUUGGCGAUCACCUCAAUCUUUGCGUUGUCGACCUCUAUUCCUUUGCUUGAAAUUAGAUGUCCUAGCACAAUGCCAUGUUUAACCAUAAAAUGGCAUUUCUCCCAAUUUAACACAAGAUUAGUCUCCCUGCAUCUUUCCAAAACCAAAGACAAGUUAUCCAAACAUAUAUCAAAAGAAUUACCAAAAACAGAAAAGUCAUCCAUAAAAACCUCAACAAUAUUUUCAACCAUUCCAGAAAAAAUACUCAUCAAGCAUCGUUGGAAAGUGGCAGGGGCAUUGCACAAUCCAAAUGGUAUUCGUCUGUAUGCAAAUGUACCAAAAGGGCAUGUAAACGUUGUCUUCUCUUGAUCCUUAGGGGCAAUUGGAAUUUGGUUGUACCCUGAAUAACCAUCUAAGAAACAAUAGAAAGAAUGACCCAGCUAGUCUCUCAAGCAUCUGAUCAAUGAAUGGCAGCGGAAAAUGAUCCUUUCUAGUGCUGUCAUUGGGCUUUCUAUAAUCAACACACAUUCGCCAUCUGGUGGUCAUCCUUGUAGGCACAAGCUCGUUGUUAUCAUUCUUCACCACAGUAAUACCAGUUUUCUUUGGAACCACCUGAGUCGGGCUCACCCAUUUGCUAUCCGAGAUUGGAUAAAUGAUACCUGCAUCGAGUAACUUCAUCACCUCAACUCUUACAACUUCCUUCAUGAUCGGAUUUAGACGUCUUUGAGCUUCAAUAGUUGGUUUAGUCCCAGCCUCCAUAAAAAUCCUAUGCAUGCACAAAGCUGGACUAAUGCUCUUUAUGUCAGCAAGUGUCCACCCCAGAGCAUCUUGAUACUUGCGAAGAACUCUUAGUAAUUUGUCUUCCUCCGUGUCAUUAAGAUCAGCAGCAAUAAUAACAGGCAAGGUCUCAUUCACCCCGAGAUGAGCAUACUUGAGGUGGCUCGGCAGUAGUUUGAGCUCUAACUUCGGAGCUUGCUCACUUGAAGGAAAAAGAGGCUGUUUAGGUACUCCAAGGCUUUCAUAAACAUGUCACCACUUUGGAUUAUGAAUUGGUGCACUAUCCAAUGCAGCGAUGACGUCCACCACAUUUUCUUCCAUAGAUAAAGUAGCAUCAUGGUUGGUGAGGCAAGUUAAUAGCUCAUCAUUAGAUGAUCGUGAGGCAAAGUUUGCAUGCACAAUCCCAUCCACAACAUCAACGCGAAAACACUCUUCAGGUUCGAAAGGACGCUUGAUAGCUUCAAAGAGUUUGAAUACAACUGAUUCUCUUUGCACUCUUAAGGUUAAAGUACCUGCUUCCACAUCAAUAAGUGUCCGGGCGGUGGCCAUGAACGGUCGGCCUAAAAUGAGAGGCACUUCCUUGUCUUCCUCCAUGUUAAGUACAAUGAAAUCAGCUGGGAGAUAGAAUUUAUCCACUUUAAUAAUCACAUCUUCCAGAAUACCCAAAGGAUAUGUCACGGACCUAUCUGCCAAUUGAAGACUCACAGAUGUGGUCUUGAGUUCUCCUUCACCUAAUUUUUGAAAAACAGAAUAAGGCAUAAGGUUAACACUUGCUCCUAAAUCAAUCAAUACUUUAUGAAAAUCAAGACUACCAAUAGUACAAGAGAUAGUGAAACUCCCCGGAUCUUUCUUCUUGGGUGGUAGCUUAUGUAAGAGGACAUCACUGCAUUGCUCAGAUAAAAUCACCUUAUCGUAUUCCAAGAACUUUUUCUUUUUAGAACAUAGCUCCUUCAGAAAUUUGGCAUAUGAUGGGAUUUGUUGAAUAGCAUCUAAUAGAGGCAAAUUAAUUUGAACCUUAGCCAACGUCUUCAUGAAUUCAAUGCAUUGUUGAUCCUUGGAACGUUGUUGCUGCCUUUGUGGAAAUGGCAAAGGUGGCUUGUAUGGUGGCUUGUCAGAAGGUGCAAAUAAACUACCAAGGCCCUUUUCCUUGUUUGAAUCAAAGUUGGGUCAAGAUUGCACUUUGUCACUUGCACUAGGAUCUGGAAUACCUGCUACAGAAAUAGCCUCUGACCGAGACUUUGCAGCUAACGGUGCACUUUCAGUAAGCUCUUCUUCUUCCACUUCGGCUUCAUGGUGCACCACUUCUCUGUUGUCAUAGCUCUUGCCACUUCUCAAUGUCUGUAUUACUUUGCAAUGCUCCAUCCCUCUUGGAUUUUGCUCAGAUUGGCUCGGGAACUUUCCUUUCUCUCUUUCAUUGAACAUGGUAGCAAGCUGUCCAACUUGAGUCUCCAAAUUCCCCACUGAUGCCGUGAGAUUCUGAAUGCUAGUUUGUGUGGAUUGGACAAAAUUGUUGGUGGUAUUAGAGAGAGCAGACAUAUGUUGAGCUAGCUGUGACAUUUGGUCUUCAAGAGAUGGUUUCUUAGUCUCACUAGUUGAAUGGUAAGACUGUUGGUAUUGACGUGGCUAUUGGUUGCCACCCCAACUGAGAUUGGGAUAGUUCUUCCACCCAGGAUUAUAUGUAUUGGAAUAAAGGUCACUUCUGGGUUUAAUGAAAUUAUUCACCAUAUUCACAUGCUCUUGCACAAGCUCAGGGUAGCUAUCCUUGUUGGGGCAUUGAGUGAUGUUAUGAGUUGUCUCACUACAAAUGAUGCAUGCUUCUUGGGCAUUGGGCAUGGAAGAGGCCUGCAUUAAGGCAGCAAACUUGGCAUUAAAAUUCUUUUCCAUUUUAGCAAUUUGAGCAGAAACAUUAGGAGAACUCUGAGAAAUCUCAAAAACUCCCCUCUUUUGUGUUUGUUCUUCUGUCCAUUGUUGGGCUUCAGAAGCCAUCAUAUCAAAUAACUCAAAUGCUUCCCUUGCUGAUUUUGACAUUAGUGACCCUCCAUCAGAUGCAUUCACUUGACUCUUGGUGGUGGCAUUGAGACCAUCAUAAAAUAUGUUCAUUUGAAGGUUAGAAUCAAACCCAGCAUGAGGACAUUUUGUGUACAUCUCAUUAUACCGUUCCCAAGCUUCAUGGAAAGACUCGUUUGGCUUUUGAGCGAAAGCCAAUAUCUCUUUCUUGAGUGCAAGAGUCUUGGAAGGAGGAAAAAAUUUAUUGAGAAAUUUUUCUUGCAAUUCUGUCCAUGUUGUAAUGCUAUUGGCAGGCAGAGAAUGCAACCACGCCUUGGCUUUGUCCUUCAAAGAGAACGGGAACAAGCGUAACUUGAUAGCUUCAGAAGAGAAACCUCUGAUUAUGGUGUUGUCACAUGCCUCAAUAAAAUCAGCCAAAUGCAUGUUGGGAUCACUGUUUGGCAACCCAUGAAAGGAUGGCAAUAUGUUGAGGAUGUGAGGUUUGAUUUCAAAGGUUGUCCCAUCUUCCACAUCUGGAUAUAUAAUGCACCUUGGCACUGCAUUGAUUCUCGCUGCCAAUGAAUUCUUUAAAGGUUGACCUGCUGCAGGUAAGGCUAGGGCCAUGUGUGCAUGGUGCCAAAGGUUGGAAAAUAGAUGUGCUGCUCUCAGGAUCACAGAACAAAUCCUUCAGAAAAGUAUCACCAAGGUUGGAAUCUUGUGCUAAAUAUUUUUCUCUAGCUAACUUCCUUGCACUUCUCUCUGGUUUAGGGUCGUAAGGAAUAAGCACUUGAUUCUUGAACCUUGUUCCAAUCACCAUAUACUACACCUGAACAAACAACAGAAAUAUUAAGCCACAAUAAAAAUAAAAGUAAAAUAAAAUAAAACUUAACAGAAACUAACUAAACAACAAAAAGGAAAAAAAAAUAAAUAAAUAAAAAUAAGUAAACCUAGAUGAAUCAAAAACACAAUUUAUGCAAAUUGGCAACCACUAGUUAGUUAAACAAAGACAAAAAUCUCACACCACACAUCCACUGCACUUAAUCAAAGAUCGAAAUUCAACUAAAUUAAUUGCUGUUUUUUUUUAAUUUAAUUUAAUGAUUAAUAAAAAUACGACUUAAACAAAAGCAUAAGAAAAAUAAACACAAAAGCUCGGGAACUGUUGGCACAGUCCCCGGCAACGGCGCCAAUUUCUUGAUAGCGAUUUUACCACUUGUAAAACAAAGGGUUAAACCAUAGAAAAUUCUUACAAGAGAACAAGUGUUUGUAGUAUAGAAUGGCUCAAGCAAGGUCGAUCUCCUCAGGGACUGAUAUAAACAAUUUACGAGUUUUUGUGUAUUUAACUUAUUUAACUCUAAGAACUAAACUAAUUUGACGAAACUAAAUACUACUAGAUGUGACUUAAACAAAUAUCUAAAAUGGGAAUUGGUUUAUAGGAAUAAUGAUUCAACUAAACAAAACAAGUAAAUGAGAAAAUUCAAGAUAAAAUAAAUGAUUGAAAAAAAAUAGAUUGACAAUAUGCUAGAGUUCAACCUUUACCAACAACACUCCUACAUAGCUCUUCCAAUUGCUUAAAUAAUUGAAAACACACAUGCUUUGAAGGUUGGAUUUUCCUUGUGUAUGUUUUACUUGUGAGAUUCAAGCUAAAACGCAUACCACUACAUGCAACUUAUCCAUGACAUUUGGAUUAAAUAUAAACAUGAGUGAUUCAUUAAUCUUGGUGAAAAUCCUUUUCUUAAACCAUGUAACCCCUAAGAGCAUGAUAUUUACCUUAGGAGAGUACAAUCCUCAAUCACAAGAAGCACAACCAAUUUUUACGUGACAUUCGUUCAAAAUUGCAUCCGAUAACUUUUCUAAGCAUCCUAAUGGUGAUCAAGCAUCAAGGUACAUAGAUAGUUUAAUUCAGUGAUUGAAAAUAUCAAAGCAAGCAUGUAACAACACUUAAGCAAUUGAAAAAUAAAUCUACGUAUUCAUGUUGCGGCUCAUGGCCUCACUCUAGCAAAAUAAAUUAGUUACACGUACUUGUAUUAAUACAUAAGAAAUUAUCCAUAAAAAAAUAACAAAGAAAGAAGACACCCGUUUUUGCAAGACGAGCUCUCCGUUCCUUUUGCUCUCUGCUCCUCACUUCCUCUCCUCUGCCUUUCUGCUUCUUCCUCCGCACCGCACUCUUCCGCACUACCCUCUUUUUCCCCUUUUUAUUUUCUGCCGUGCUCCUCUCUCCUCUCUGUCAUCUUAUGUCCGUGUCCCCCAUUUCUUAUUCUUUUCGUUUUCUUUUCUGCUGUGCUCUCUCCUUUCCCGUUGUCAAUCUGCCCACUCUCUCCUGUCUUUAGUCAUCUUCACACUUAAGCCCAUACUUAAUCAUACUCACCACUUACUAGUUCACAUUUAACCAAUUAAAACAAUGUUUUGAAUGUAGUAACACUCCUUAGAGAAUUCCCUCAAUUCCUUACUAGAUAUGCACUCAAUUUUCACUCAGAUUUUCUAACUACACACCCUAUACUAGUUAUAUGUGAGAAGAUUGAUGUAAACUUGAAAACGAACGCUCACAUAUAUGUAUAACAAAGAAAGCAAUUUCUGGAGUUAGUAAGCAUGUUUAGAUAUGAUCUCAUGAAUGGAAUGCUACUACUUAGAUGCGAGAACUAGUGACACCAUAUGCUCAUACCAAAUUCAAACUCCACAAAUUGAAACACAUAACACUCAAGAUAAAAGUUAUGGGUUGUAACGGGGCUAAGGGUAAUGGCUAACAAAGAAAGAUAGGGAUAACAAACGUUCUUAACGCAAUAGCAAGCAAAGUAAUGAAAUCGCAACUUAGAAUUCACUUUAGAAUGCCGAAAUCAACUUUUAAACACAAAGGGAAGAGUCAUACAACACUUAGGACCAGAUUCAAUGUUUUGGACCCUUUCUUCAACAACCAACACUUUAGAGCUCUUCUCCACAUCUUUUUCAACUCCUUUUCAUACUUUUUUUUUUCAUUCUUUUCUUCACGAAUUUCUUCCUUUUUCUUUUCUACCCGUGCCUCUUUUAAGACUUUGGCACACACACACAAAAAUCCCUUCCCCCACACUUGUUUUCUGCACUACAUUGAUCAAAAGGAAUUCAUCUUGAGUCAUGCUUUACUAUGCUUCAAGAACAAGGGUAUGGAUGGUCCUAAUUUAGGCUAGGUGAGGAUAGUGUGGGUUGACAAAGAAUAAUGGCUACACAAGGCUCAACGGGGUUAAACUUAAACAUAUAAUGAAUUAGGGCACACGGCAAUGGCUUUGGUGGUCACUACACAACUUCAUCUUGAAUAUGUGUUAUGCAAUCAAUAGCAUGCUUUGAAUGAAAUGGGCAUGAGUUCUAGCAUUUGGAACUAAAUGAUGAAACGCCUUCUAAGUAGUAACCAAGCAAAGAAUAAUGAGAUCAUGCAACGACUUUAGAAAACAACAAUGCACAGAUUAUUAAUUCUCCAAAUAAACGUUUCGGCUCUAGUCUCACAAAGUUGUAGCGUUAAUUUGAGUUCCUUCCUUCAAGCAUGUAACAAAAACUGAUUUUUCCUUUAUGAUUGCAUGUGAAUUCAUAAGUUAUAACCACAACCAAGCAUAAACCAAAGAGUAAAUCAACUUUUAUCCAUGUUUAUAACUCUCUUUAACAGUCAUGCAAUUAAAAACCAAAUCCUCAUCAUUGUGUUGGAAGGUAACCUAAGAAACUAACAAACACACGAAAACAAUUCAAAAGCAACUCUUUUUGGGUUUUUCAAAACAAUUUUUCAAAUUUUUAUGGGAUUUUCAGUUUUUUAUGUCAAACACACUAAAAUGCAUCAAAACAGCUUAAAAACCACUUAAAAACAGCAAGGAACAACAUUGGAAGUUAUGGGUGAUAAAAUCCCACGAAUUUGUAUCAAAAGCACUUAUUUACCCCCCCCCCACACUUAAAUCAAACAUUGUCCUUAAUGUUUCAAGCAUAAAUUCACCCAAAAAAAACAUAAACAACCAAACAGCAACUAAACACUCAACAUGGCAGAAACGAAAUAACAACAAAGAGAAGGGUUUGAGGAACGCAAAUCUAGAAUUGGAGUGAUUCCUAGGUCUUCCUUUGUUGAAUGCAUGGGUUGCCUCCCAAGUAGCGCUUGCUUUAACAUCUUGCAGCCGGACGAUACUCCUUUUGAAGCUUUAUUGGACCCCACGGCAUGAAGGGGUGCUUCCUCUACAACCUGUCCUACGAACCACUUCAUGCUUUAGAUCUUUGAAUGGAAGGGGAUAAUGAUCCUUCCUGAUUUUGGUGUUUUGCUUCCCUAAAUCAACAUGAACUCUCCCACCACGUUGAAUGCACCUAGGUACCUGCACUAAACAAGGUAACAUCCUUUUAUUCGAAAUGGGAAUUGAAUUUGGAAAAGAUGGCUCACCCAUGUGCUGCAAUGAAGUGGCAGCACAUUGAACAGAUGCACAAAGGAUACUCUCGGCCAUAUUUUGUGAUUUGAAGGUUGGGGCGUGCUCUUUGUGCUUUACUCCAAGUGCCUCCUCGAUUGUGGUGCGAGAAACAUCCUUCUUGAUUAGUGUUGAACAUUCCUGCCCUAUAUUUUUCAAUUACAUCAAUGGCACAACAAGAACGAACAUCAUUAGUCUUCUCAACAGAUUUAGAAAUCUUAAAGUUAAUCAUAUCACCACCAAAUGCCAUAGUUACUGCUCCCUUGGCCACGUCAAUCUUGGUUUGAGCCGUUUUCAUGAAAGGUCGUCCAGGUAAGAGCAGUGAUGGUGAAGAGUGGGUUGAAUCCUCCAUAUCAAGCACAUAGAAAUCUGCAGGAAAAAUCAAGUGGUCUACCUGCACCAAAACAUCUUCCAAUACUCUUUUUGGAUAUAAAUUAGAUCAAUCGGCUAAUUGAAUAAUCACACCAUCAUUUUUUAGUUCUCCUAAAUUCAUAGAUGCAUACAUAAAAUAUGGCAUGACAUUAAUUGAUGCACCUAAAUCUAGCAUAGCAUGCUCAAACCUUGUAUUACCAAUUACACAAGGAAUUGUGAAACUACUCGGAUCUUUACAUUUAGGUGGCAACUUUCUUUGCAACAUUGCAGAGACAUUCUCGUUGACAUGUACCACUUCUUUCUCCCGAAUAAGUCUCCUUGUUGUACAAAGCUUCUUCAAAAACUUGGCAUACUUUGGGAUUUGCUUAAUAGCAUCAAGGAGUGGGAUAUUGACAUGCACCUUUCUAAACGUCUCCAGAACAUCUUUUUCCUCCUCUUCAUUCUUGGCUUGCAAAAAUCUGCUAGGAAAGGGUACAUUUGGAGGAAUAACGUUAGAAUUAAUUGGAAUUGGAACUUUCUUACCUAUGGUGGACGGAUUGGAUAAAUUAGGGGGUGUAGGAGGCUGUGGCAAGGGUGCUUCCUUCCUUGUCGUGGCCUUGGCUUGAUCCUCCUCUUCGAAUUGCAACUUCUUGUCCUCUCUUUGGGUUGAUUUAGAUGGUUGUGGAUCAGUUCCAACUUCCUUUCCACUCCUUAGCAUGAUUGCCUUGGCAGAUUCAAAGCCUCCCCUCGGGUUGACAACGGUUGAACUAGGCAACUUGCCUUGCUCUCGAAAUUGUCCCAUGAACUCCGCAAUUUGCCCUACUUGUUUCUCCAACUCAUCCACCUUUUUGUCUUUAGUUUGCAUACCUUGCGCCAUAGAAGUUAGUAAUUGAAAAAUCUAAUCAUUAUCAAUAGACGAACCUGAUUUGUUUUGGGCAGGUUGUGCUUGAGGUUGUGUGGGUGCAAACGGUUUUUGGUAGAAACCUAGGGGUUUUUGCCUAAAUGCACUUUGUUGUUGGCCUUGUUGGGGUUUUCUCCAUUUGAAAUUUGGAUGAUCUCUCCAUCCCGUAUUGUAUGUGUUAGAGAAGAGAUCACUUCUGGGUUGAUUUUGACCUUGAAAACCAAUGGCAUUUGCACUUUCCCAACCUCUAUUCUCAAUUAGUUGAGGGCAUUGCUCCUAGGGGUGUCCUUGCAUAGAGCACACGCCACAAACCUUUGGUCCUUGCAUCUUGUUUCCUUCAACAACCUGUGACACAAUAAGAUUAGCCAAUUGAGAUUGUAUUUCGGAAAUUGCAUUUACCUCAUGCACUUGGUGUUGUUGUGGGGUGCUUUUUUGUCCAACACCUUCGUAUUGUUGAGCAUUCAACACUCGAUUCGCAAUCAAAGUCUUUGCAGUCGUGGGGGUCUUGUCCACCAAGGCUCCUCCCGCUGAGGCAUCUACCAUUUGACUUUCAAUUGGUAGAAGCCCCUCGUAGAAGUAUUGUAGAAGAAGCUCCUCCUUCAUUUGAUGCUGGACAUGAAGCAACAAGAGAUUUAAAACGUUCAUAAUAAGUAGGAAAAGAUUCACCUUCAUCUUGCUGAAUUCCACUUAUCCUUUUUCAUAGAAGAAUAACUUGAGAAGUUGGGAAAAACUUCUCCAAGAAAGCCUGUUUCGUGCUUUCCCAAGAUGUGACAGUUCCAGGAGCUAAUUCAUACAACCAAUCUUUCACCUUUUCCAUGAGAGAAAAGGGAAAAGCCUUCAUCUUCAAUAUGCUCCCGUCGACGUUGAUGGGAGUUAUGCUUGAACACACCACCUCGAACUCUUUCAAGUGCUUGUUGGGAUCCUCCAUGGACAACCCAUGGUACUUCGGAAUAUGGUGCAGCAAACUUGACUUCAACUUGAAUUCCUCGGUUUUGCCUUGAGCAGCCACGGGAUAUUGGAUGCAUAGGGGUGCGUCAUUGCCCAAUCCCGAAGCGGAAAGCUGGUUGAUUGUUCGGUUGUCCGCUGCCAUGUCUUGCAUUACUUCACCCAUCCUUGCCGUGGGUUCUUCUUCCUCAAACUCAAAUUCAGCCUCUGAAUGUGAACUUGAUUCACUAGGUUCUGGAUUCUUCCUCUUUCGUCUCAACUCUCACUCGAAAUCGUCGUCAAAGUCCAAGAUAUGUUCAUGAACCGGGUGAGAACUCAGAGUCAUAAACUAGUACCUAAGAACAAGGAAAUAAAACAAGGUCAGAAUCUGGAAUUAAUUAAAACAAAACAAAAUAAAAGAUCUAAGGGAUUACCAACUUUGCUAAUCCCCGGCAACGGCGCCAAAAAUUUGAUGCGAAAUAUAUAAGCACACAAAUUAAACCCUCAUUUUAUCAAUUGUAGCAAAGUAUGUAAGUAGGGAUCAUUCUGGGCCGGGGAUUAGGAGAGAUUGCUAAAACACUUAAAACUGACUAAAAAAUGUAAAACAAAGUUUAAAACACUAAACUAGACUCAAAGAAUGCAAAACUAAACUAAAAAACACUAAAACAACUCAAAAGACUCAAAUUUGCCCAAAAACACUCAAAUCUGCCUAAAAACACAAACUGGGCAGAUUUGAACUCUAACACUCUUUUGGACGAAUUUUGUGUUUUCCUAGACUCAAAACACUUAAAAACACAAUCUAAAACAUAUUCUAACUAGUUAAACACACUAAAGUAAAGGGGGAUUUGGUUUUGGACGAAAAUCAAAUAAAAUAAAACAAGAAAGACUUAAACAGAUUCUAGACGAAAUUGGGUGAAUUAGAUGGAUGAUUGGCUAGCUAGGAGGUUCUUCUCCACACAUGUCACACUUGCAUACAAAACGAUUUCCAAUUGCUUUUCAAUAAACCAUGAAUUCUCAACGCCCCAGAUUAACCGUGUAUUGCACUAAUUAACCUUCAGAUUUUCCUAAAGUUAUUGAAUUGGAUGAUUGCAUACGACAACCCAAAGCAUUUCCCACAAGUUCCCUACAUGAAUUGCAUAAUAGAAAAACAAGCAAAGCUCAUUACGUUAUAUGAAAAUCAUAAGCAUUGACGAGGCACUUGUUACUAUGAAUUGCAUGAAACUUAUGCCAAGAAUUUACUUAACGCGAUUGUGAUUAGCAACCUUUACUACUCAUGAAUAUAAGUUCAUAAUAAUUAGAUGAAAUUCCCUUAUAUCCUAGCAUCACAUUUAUGCAUGAAAAUUAAGUGUGCACUCUCAACCAACAAACACAAAUCAGUUUUAAUUCAUAUAGAUAAGCAAAUUGAAUUCACAACUUAUGAAACGCAACUGAAAGUAAUCAAAUCAUAUAGCAAGCAUGAACAUGGUUUCAAAUCCCCCCCUAGCUAAGGGGAUUUAGUUCCUCAUACGAUCAAAGCAAAGAUAAACAAAUUUAGACAUUGAAAACCAAAGAAAGAAAACACCUAGACGCUCCAACUUGGACAGCAGGUACAUUCACGAUUUCUUCCUUCCUCCUUGCUGUGGCACAAGGCUUGGGGACAGGUUUUGGGGGUUAUGUGUAUGGAAGAAUGGAUGGGAGAUGGUAUGGUAGUGUUUGGUAUGGAUGGAAGGUGUGGCAAGGGGUGAUUUUGGUCAGGAACUAUGGAGAAUUGGGGGUGAUGGCUGCGGCAGAGAAGGGGAGAAUGUUUCUGGCAUGAAUUGAUGUAUAUGGGAGGUGGUAGUUCGGCCAAGGCUGAAAUAUAGGUAUAUAUAGGCACAUAAAACCCUAGGGAACUCAGGUUAGGAUUUAGACUUAGCAAAAAAUAAGGAUUAGGGCCCAAGCAAUCAAAAUCCAAGGGGGAAAAGGUAUAAGAGGUGCGGCAGAUAUGUAGGAAAAGGAUUAGGCUUCUAGAAUGCCUUGCAAGGCAAGGAAAAAGGGUUUCCUUGCUAAAAUUGGUGCGGCAAAGUCCCUACAUCUGAAAGAGAUUGGUUUUCUUAUGCAACAAGGAUAAGCAAUGAAGGGAUAGGGUUUCUAGAAACCCACAAACCCAAGGAGAUGCACGACAAGGAUAGGGAAGUGUUCUAGAACCCUUCUUUGUGUCAAAAAAUGCUUAGGAAACCUUUAAUGUUGCUGGAACUUAAGGCCAUCUAGGUUUAGGAAAGGUCGACCCAAAAUAGGAAACUUUAGGCUUAACUUUCCUACUUCAAGUAGGAAACCUUGUUGGAGUAGGAAUCCUCAUUCUUCUAGGAAUCCAUCUUUAACUAGGAAUCCUUCUUCAAUUAGGACUCCUCACAUCUUCAUAUCUUCAUAUCUUCAAUUUCGUCCAUUCCUUUUGAUUCAAGCAUGUGCCAUUCAUUCCAAGCUCAAUUUUGUUCCAAAAGGCUUCAAAAUGCACUACUUUGCAUACUUUGCUCUUAAAACCUGAAAACACAAGAAAUUGACUUAAAAGACUAACUUAACUAAGAAAACACAACAUAAAUGCACAAGAACUAGCUAACUAAGGUGCAUAAAUAUGCUCCUAUCAAUGGACAGCGUAACGUAACCAAAUUAUUCUUCUCAAGUUCCUUAUAUGAACAGCAUGAUAGAGGUACCGAUCAAAGAUCAUUAAGUUCUAUGAAAAUCAUAAGCAUUGACAAGACAUUCGUAACUAUGAAUUGCAUGAUACUCUUGCCAAGAAUUUACUUCACACUAUUGUGGCUAGCAAUCUCCAUUACUUUUAAUUAUAAGUUCAUAACGAUUAGGUGAAAUUCCCUUAUAAUUUAGCAUCAAAUCCCUGCAUGCAAACUAAGUAUGCAUCCUUAAUAAACACGCAAGAAUAAGUUCUCAAUAAUGCAGAUAAGUAAAUCACAUUCAUGUUUUACGAAACAAUAAUUGAAGGUAAUCAAUUCAUAUAAAACAUAUGUCCAUGGCUUUGAAUUCACCUCCAACUAAAAAGGAAUUAGUUCCUCAUGUUCAUAAUAAUUGAAAAGCAAAGUAAAAUAAACAUGGAAACAAAACGAGAGAAGAAAGAACUCGAAAAAUCUCCAAUGGUUGUAGGUGGCUUGCGGCACAACCCUUGGAUGGUUGCACAGCACAUGACUCCUCUUCUCCUUCCCUUCCUUGCUGCGGCACUUAAUUAAUUUUUGGGUAAUUGGCAUGAAUUGUGGUGUAGAAUUAUAUAGGAGUUGGUGGUAUGAAUUAUGCGGCAGAAACAUGUAUAUAUAGGGCUAGGCUUUUGCGGUACCAACAUCUUGGAGAACAAGGAAAGGCUCGGCCCAAUCCAAGGGGAAAAGAAUUAGGGUUUUUAGCAGAUUUUAGGGCUUCUAGAAGAACAAGGGUGAGACACUCUUUUAAGGAUUCCUUGGCAGAUUCCUAAGCUUCUAGAAGAGGGAGAGGCACCACCUUUCUAGGGGUCUAGAAAGGGUGGUGUGACAUAAGUCUAGGGCAGAGACAAACCUUAUAGAAAUCAGAUAUUUUGGUCCCCUUGUAGCUGGAUUUAAGGUAUGAUAAGAUUAGGAUAAGAUAAGAUAAGAUAAGGUUAGUUUGGAUAAGAUAAGGUUGGAUAAGGUUUUGGAUAAUGUUCCUUCUUUUUAGUUGAUUCCUUAUCUUCUUUGUCUUGAAUUUAUUUUCUUCAUCUCUUCAACACGUUCCUAGCCUCUUGAACUUCAAAAACGUCCAUCCACCUUGCUCCAUGCAUGUGUUAUCCAUUCUUGGCCCAGAACUGUUCCAAAAUGCUCCACAUUGCACUUUCUUACCAACUUUGUCAUUUGAACCUGAAAACACACGAAAAUAGCUUAAAACACUGUAAUAAGUAGAAACUAGUUAUGAAAAUGCAAGAAAACAAGCUAACUAAGUAUCAUAAAUAUGAUCCUAUCAAAUUCCCCCACACUUAACUUUUGCUAGUCCUCGAGCAAAACAAAGAAAAUGAAACAUAACCUAGACCUUCCAACGUUUGCCUCAGGGAUUUCCAAUGAAACAUAACAUGCUAAAAAUCACUACUCACAUAGAUUUUAGCCAUCCUUACCCUCGAGCUCAUACUUAAUCACAGUCACCACUCACUAGCUUGCAUUUAAUCAAUUCAAAGAAUGGUUUGAAUGUAGUAACAUGCCUUAGAGAAUUCCCUCAAUUCCUCACUGGAUAUACUCUCUAUUUUCACACAAAUUUUCUGACUACACUCCCUAUAAUAGGUAUAUGUGAGAUGAUUGAUGUAAACAUGUAGACUAGCCACUCACAUAUGUUAUAAUCAAAGAAGGCACUUUCUGGAAUUAUUAAUGCAUGUAUAUAUAUGAUCUCAUGAACGUAAUGCCACUACUUAGAAGCGAGAACCAGGGAUUCCAUAUGCUCGUACCGAUUUCAAACUCCACUUAUUGAAACACAUAACACCCAAGAUAAAGUCAAAGGGUUGUAAUGGGGCUAAGGGUAUGGGCUAACAAAGAAAUGUCAAGGAUAAACAAAGGUUCUUAAAGCAAUAGUAAGCAAACAUAAUGAAAUCAAUAAUUGGAAUUCAACUUCUGACUGCAGCAACUAACUUUAAACACAAGGGGAAGAUUCACACAAUACUUAGGGCUAGAUUCCAACUUUUGGACCCUUUCUUCAAUAACCAAUACUUGUGAGCUUAUUCUCACUUAUUUUGAAAUCUUUUUCUUUCUUUUCUCAACUUUUUCUUCUUCUUUUGUUUUCUUUUUCACGUUUUUUUUCUCUCUUUCUUUUUCACGUUUUUAUUUUUUAUUUUUUAUUUUUUUUACUCCUUUCGUUGGAAAUAACCUUCCCCAACACUUGUUUUCUGCAUAAUGUUUGAUCAAAGGAAUUCCCUCUAAGUCCUGCUCCACUAUACUUUAAAAACAAGGGUAUGGAUAGUCCUAUUCUAGGCUAGGUAAGGAUAAUGUGGCUAACAAAGAAAAUAGGCUAAAUAAGGCUCAACGGGGUUAAACCUACAAAACAUAUGCAAGGAAUUAAGGCUUUUUGGCUCUGGUGGUAACUACUAAACAACUUCAUCUUGUUAUAUGUUAUGCACUCAAUUUUAAGCUUUGAAUGAAACAGGCAUGAGUUCUAGUAUUUGGAACUAAAAUGAUGAAAAACGCAUUCUAAGUAGCAACCAAGCAAAGAAAUAAUGAGAUCAUUCAACAACUUUAGAAAACUAGAAUUCUCAAAUUAAUAACUCUCCAAAUAAAGUAUAGGCUUAAGUGUCUCAGGGUUGUAGCGUUAAUUUGAGUUCCUUCCUUCAAGCAUGUUACAAAAACUUAUUUUUUUUUCUUUUGUGAUUACAUGUGAAUUCGUUAAUGACAACUGUGUUUGUAACAUACUUAGGGCCUCCGUAUUUAGACCUCGUAUAAAUACUCGAGGGACUCAAGUGUAAUUAUGUAAUAAAUGAAUUGCCAAAUAUGUAAUAAGUGAGAAACCCUUAUUCUAUAAAACGACUCAUCACUCUCCUCAUUAGAGGGGGUCAAGAUUCAGGGGAAGAGAGAAAAUAGGCUAGCGAGCACACUGCCUCUAGCCUUCUUGUAUAUUCAUCAUUCAGAGUGAAACAAUACCAACAUUAGUGUGGAUGUAGCCCGAACAUGGGGUGAGCCAUGAUACAUCUUGUGUUCUUUACAUUCUUGCAGAUUCACGAUCGGAUUUACGCUGUUCCAAGACUCUUCGGUUUUGUGCAUCAACAUUUGGCGUCGUAUGUGGGAAACGACAUGAAAAGCUAUGUCGAUUCUCUUUCAUUUUUUCAUCUUACCACCAUGAGACUUCAUCACUAACCACCGUGAAUCUGCAAAACCCACACAAAGACACAGACAUAGAGCUCUCUUUCUCUCGUUAAGCAAACGGAUAUAAGCAAAUGGAUGUGGCUUUCCUUUGAUAAUUUCUGAAAUGUUUCCUAUAUCCUCCUGGAAAUUUUCUUCGUCUACAAUCUAAAAACUCAAAAACCCAAUUCAAAAUGCCUGGUUUUAGAUCGAACCUACCAAAAAGUUUGCUGAUUUUUCAGUUUUUGCCUCCUCAUUGCUUUCACUUCAACAAGCUCUCACAUUUCCCACACAGGUGGUGGGAAAGGGGAUGAUGAUGCUGGUGGGUCGGUAGUAUGGGAAACAAGGAGGUCGCUUGCAAGCGGAACUGGCCAGAACUCAUCUCUGCUGUUGACUAAGGAGAUGACGCGCAGGAGAGACCCUCUUGAUAAUUUUAAGAAGUACAAUGGUGGGUGGAAUAUCAGCAAUGAGCAUUACUAGGCUUCUGUUGGUUUCACUGCGGUUCCCUUCUUUGUCGUUGAUGCUGUCUGGUUUGUGAUUUUUGGGCUGAGCUUGUCUCUUAUCUGUCUCUGUUACUGCUGUUGUUCAUGGGAGCCUUAUGGUUAUUCUAGAACAUGCUAUGCUCUCUCCCUCAUCCUACUUAUUUUGUUCACCCUUGCGGCAAUGUAUUAUUUCAUACAUGGAGGACCACACCUCUACUAACAAGAAGCAGGUUUGAGACAACUCGGACGACUCAAUUCACGACUCGACUGAGGUGAAGCGACUCAGGGAAGACCUACUGGGUUUCCUUGACGACUCGGACGCCUAUCCCACGACUCAGCGUUCACAUGGUUCCAGGUCUUCAUGCAUUGCCACGGUCUUUCGUCAUUUCUUUUUCGUCGUCUUUCGAACAUGGCGAAGGCGGUGAACAUUCAGACACCCCUGUAGGUUGGUACUAACAAAGUUGAAAGUUCUUGUCAGUGUUGGCAUCGGCUUACAAGCCUGAAAAAGCCAGGGUCCCGCAUGCUCUUCCCCUGCCCAGUCCUCCCGUGUUUAGUGUACAUUCACAUGGAUUAUUACAGUUUUAACUCAAAAUCUUCAUUUGGGUCAAAUUUCUCGAGCUUGUUCGACCCUUUUAAGCAUGACGUAAAUGGGUUCGGCGGGUCUUUCUGUGGCGGCGCUACAGCGAAUCUGCCUCAUUUUUUUGUUUUAGACAGUGAGAAAGGGAGCUUGUUAAGGCUUCGGCAAGAGUGGGGAAAAAAGGGCUGCCUCAGGCCAAGGCUUUGUUGUCUUUGAAGAAUCAUAGUGAGGCUGAAAGGAGGAUGAGAGAGAGAAUCAAUGCACAUCUCUCUACAUUUCGCGAUCUGGUGCCCUGCACAAAGAAGGCCAAAUCAAACAAUUGGCGGUGGGAUCGGACUGUGUUGAUGGUUUCUCAGAAUGAGACAAAGUCAAUGUCUCAGCCAAGGAAAAGGAAAAGAUGCUUUUACAAAUGGUAUCGUCUUGCUUUUACAAACGAGAAGUGAAUGAGCUGGCUACUUUCCAAAGUGGAAAGGAACAGUGUCACCAAAUGGAAGCCAAAUCUCUGGCAAGUUGGUACAGUCCAGCAAUAAGAUUCUGCGACAACUGUGGAAAAACCCACCAAUUUCUGCAAAAAAUAAGAUGCUCUCCUUUAAUAUCCCAUCAUUAUGUUUUAUCAAUAUCAUUGUUUAUUUAAUUACUUUAUUAUUUCAUGAUGACUAAUUAUAAAAUAAUAAUUUUAUUAUUUUUAUGUCAUGAUGACUUAUGAUUAAAUAAUAUAAUUAUUAUUUUUGAUAUGACAUGAUUACUACCACGUUAUUGAUUUAUACAACAUAUGAUUUAUCAAACAACUGAAUAAAUCAUUUAUUCAUGAUUAUAUAUAUAUAUAUACACACAUUUAGGCAAUACCUAAUAUAUUGUUGAUUUAUGCAACAUGUCAUUUAUCACACAACAUAAUAAAUCAUUUAUUUACAAAAGACACAUAAUACAACAUUUUGCCUUGACAAACUUGUCAAUUUGAUUUAUUAAUUAUACGGUCGUACUUGUACUGUCAUUUAUUAUAAGGAAUUAUUGAGCAACUAAAUCCAUUGAUCAACAUUGUUGCUAAUUAAAGAAGUCUACCAACUUAUAGACUGAUGAGCCACAUGCUCAUGGUGAUCCCUUGUCUGACUGGACACCCACUUGCUUAUCACCAACCAGGUGAUCAAAAGUACGUCCAGUACUCCAAAAUUAUUCGGCAGCCUGUUGCUAUUAUCACCAACCAGGUGAUCAAAAGUACGUUUAGUACUCCAAAUUGAUUCGGCAGCCUGCCGCUAUUAUCACCAACCAGGUGAUCAAAAGUACAUCCAGUACUUCAAAAUUAUUCGGUAGCCUGCCACUAUUAUCACCAACUAGGUGAUCAAAAGUACGUCCAGUACUCCAAAAUUAUACAUGAGCAUCACUCAUGUCAAUCAUACAUAAACAUGUUGGAAAUGUGCCCUAAAACCAAUCAUAUGAUGAUACUUUACGGACAUUUCGCAUGUUAAACUAAUCUAGUUUAACUAUAAAGGGCAAAGAUUAUUGUUUGAGCCGUCUCAUAUAAAUGUUAUAUGCUUAAACGAUAAAGUCCAAGGAAUAUGUGAUUGGGAGAAUGCGAUCUAAAGAAGUUAGAUUCAUGAGACCAUUCUUUCGUAGACACAUCCUAAACGUUCCUGAUCAUAGGAUUGCCAAUUGGGCAUUGACAGUCCGUUAAGAUCAGUACGUGCUGUAUCUUCUCUCAGGGAGAGUGACUAUUCUCGAGUCAUUGAUGUGUGUGACAUCAAGACAAGUACGUAGGUGCUCAAUAGAGAAUGAGUUCACUGAACACGAUCAACGAAGAGUCUCAUAUUCAUGUCACAUGAGAACUCAUGGUUGGGAUAAUGCAAAGUCGUCCUUUGACCUGAGGCAUCGUCGUUGUCUUGUGGUUAAGUCCUUGAUCUUUGAUUAUGUCAAACGUCAUUCCAUUGGAGUGUCCACGGCAUCGUUGGGGUUAAGCCACUUAGCCAUGGAGGCAAGUGAAUGCGCAACAAGGGAUCUCUAACCUUCAAACUGUUUGAGGGAGAAUACUCUAUGAUAUGAUUUAGAAUCUCUAGCCAGAGUAUGAAUGAGAUUUAGGAAUGCGUUCCAAAUCACAUUCAAGGUAAUCAUAUAAGCACACGAAUCACAUUGGAUAGUAGACAUGAAUAAAUAAACUAUCAAACCAAACAAUGUGGUCAAGAGUAUUGUAUUAGAGAAAGACCGUAUUGCAUUUGUAAUCCUAAACUGAAUAGGUUCUCCACCUCUUCUGAUUAGCUUGGGUAACCAUGAUAUGCUGCUAGGUGUCACUCUUGGUUUGUGGAAGCCCUAAACGUGUAUAAUCACUAAAGGGAGAAUUGAAAGUAAGUUUCAAUUCACAAUCGAUUUGAAAGAGUUUGAAUCGCCCACUGCCUCGCUAAAAGGAACCUAAUGGAUCGUACACCGUGUAAGAUGGAGAUUGAAGAAACAAUGGAGAUGAGUAAGAAUAAUUAAAUGGUUUAAUUAUUUAUGGCAAGGAUUAAUUGAUAUGUUAAUUAAUCAAACGAAUAAGUUCGUUAAAGACCUUGGGAUAGUUUUGGACGUUUAGGCCCAAUGGGCUUCGAACGUCAAGCCCAUUGACUUAAGUUGUAUGACAACUUAAUUCACAAAAGCCCAAAAGCCCAAACAACACCCUAAGGCCGGCCAUAUUGUUAAGGGUAGUGAACUUGGACUUAUUUACAAGUUUGCCACUCAAAUGAAUAAAGCUAUAAAUAUGACUUUAUAGCCAAAAUUCAUUAAGGGUUUGUUUUGGAGAAAAUUGGAGAGAACAUGUCUCUCCAUUUCUCUCUAAAGAGGCCGGCCCCUUGGAGGGUGCAUCUAGCAAUCCCACUACUCCAAGGUCACUCAUUUCUUCUCCAAUCUAACCUUGGUGAAGAUACUUAGAGGUUCUCUAUUUUGGGAACUUGGAGAAUCCUAUUCUUCCAUCCAAAUCCAUAGAUUUAAUAUGCAAGGAAUGAAGGCCCUCUCUUUGGGUGAUUAGCCUUUGCUUAUGCAAAGAGGAAUCUACAAAGGUAUAUUUCUCAACUCACUUUGAUUUGAGUUGAGUCUUGGUUCACCAAUCUACUAGGCUUUGAAUUUCAUGGUUAAUGUUUUGUUUUUAAGUGCAUGCAAGCAUGAUUCCGCCUUUAAUUGUUAAUUGCAUGCUUAUUGAUGUUGCUUAAAUGAACAUGUUUUCACAAAAUCAUCCUUCAAAACAUUCAUGAGCAUCACUCAUGUCAAUCAUACAUAAACAUUCAUGAACAUCACUCAUGUCAACAUUCAUGAGCAUCACUCAUGUCAACAUCCAUGAGCAUUAUUCAUGUCAAUGAACAUAAACAUUCAUGAGCAUCACUCAUGUCAAUCACCCACAAAAGCUUCACCUACAAAGCUUCAGUGCAUGGUAUACAAAGACCGCCUCCGAACAACCACCAUUUCAGCCCAUACAUGGAUUGAAUUUGAAGUCUCCAACCAACAGACUCUAUUUACUGAAGACUUGGGGGACUACACUAUGUACCAUAUAUUGGGCUUCCACAACUGAGCCUCAUGAAAAAUACUUGGGGGACUUAGCCCAUUAUUUAUGUACUAAGGAGCGAAUCCUUAUUCUAUAAAAAGGACUCCCUUACUUUCAUUAGAGAGCACCCAUUAUUCACGUAUUGAGGAGUGAACCCGUAUUUUAUAAAAGUGACUCCCUCACCUUCAUUAGAGAAAGACUCUUAGCCCAUCACUUAUGUAUUGAGGAGUGAACCCUUAUUCUAUAAAAAGGACUCCCUCACCUUCAUUAGAGAGCAUCGCCGCCAGCUGAGCAACCGGCUCGCCGCGAGCAUCACUCCUAGCCCAUCAUUUAUGUAUUGAGGAGUGAGCCCUUAUUCUAUAAAAUGGACUCCCUCACCAUCAUUAGAGAGCAUCACCGCUAGCUGAGCAACCGCCUCGCCGCAAGCAUCACUUAUGUAUUGAAGAGCGAGCCUUUAUUCUACAAAAGGGACUCCUUCACCUUCAACGCCACAAGCCAAGCCAACCAAGGCAACAUAAGCCACAAGCCAAGCAGCCUCACAACAUGUGCUACUUCUAGUUGAGCAUAAUUUCACAUUGAGCAUCGCUUCAUAUCAAGUAUUCAGACGACAUCUAGUUACUUCGGCCCAUACAUGGACUGAAUUUCAAGUCUCCAGCCAAAAGACUCUCUUGACUGAAGACUUGGGGGAUUACUGUUUGUACCAUACUUAGGGCCUCCGUAUUUAGGCCUCGUAUAAAUACUCGGGGGACUCAAGUGUAAUUAUGUAAUAAAUGAAGGGACAAAUACAUAAUAAGUGAGAAGCCCAUAUUCUAUAAAAAGACUAAUCACUCUCCUCAUUAGAGGAGGUCAAGAUUCAGGGGAAGAGAGAAAAUAGGCUAGAGAGCACACUGCCUCUAGCCUUCUUGUAUAUUCAUCAUUCAGAGUGAAACAAUAUCAACAUCAGUGUGGACGUAGCCUGAACAUUGGGGUGAACCACGAUACAUCUUGUGUUCUUUACAUUCUUGCAGAUUGACGGUCGAAUUUACGUUGUUCCAAGACCCUCCGAUUUUGUGCAUCAACAACUACAACCAAGUAUUAACCAAAAAGCAUAUCAAACUUCCAUCCAUGUUUGUAACUUUCUUUAAUAGUCAUCCAAUUAAAAACCAAAUCCUCAUCAUUGUGUUGGAAGGUACCCUAAGACACAAACACACAAAAACAACUCUAAAACGACUCUUUUAGGUUUUUCAAACUUUUUCUAAUUUUUUUUUCAAAUUUUCGUAUUUUUCUUUUAAAACACUCUAAAACACACUAAAAACACUUUAAAACAGUGAGAAACAACUCUAGUGGUGCUAGGUGGUAAAAUCCCACGAAAAUCAUGCGAAAACAGCUUGUUUACCCCCCCUCCCCACACUUAAACCAAACAUUGUCCUCAAUGUUUCAAACAUAGACUAACAUGCAAGCAAUCAAAACAACUAACAAACACGACAAUCAUGGCAAAGUAAUAGCAAUAAAGAGUAGAGUUUAAGAACGCAAAUCUGGUUAUGGAGUUAGAAUUCCAUCAAGCCCUCGUUUGAUCACAUGGGUUGCCUCCUAAGAAGUGCUUGGUUUAACGUCUUCCAGCCGGACGAGACGUCCAUUUAAACGUUAAUAGGGCCAACGACAUGGAGGGGUAUGUCCUCCACGGCAUGCUCCUCAAAAGUCUCGUAGUAGGGCUUCAAACGGUGUCCAUUGACCUUGAAUUUAUGUCCCGUCUUCAAACUUUGAAUUUGGACUGCACCAUAAGGAAAAACAUUAGUAACAACAAAAGAGCCAAUCCAUUUAGAACCCAACUUACCUGGAAACAAACGAAGGCGAGAAUUGAAGAGUAACACUUUCUGCCCUAUAGGGAAUGUCUUGCCAUGAAUCAUCUUGUCAUGGGCCACCUUUGUUUUCUCCUUGUAAAUGUGAAUGUUUUCAUAAGCUUCAUUCCGAAUCUCUUCAAGCUCAUUCAAUUGAAGCUUCCUAUGAAUUCCAGCAGCAUCAAUAUCCAUAUUGAAUGUCUUGACUGCCCAAUGUGCACAAUGCUCCAACUUAACGGGAAGAUGGCACGGUUUCCCAUAGAUGAGCCGAAAUGGUGACAUCUCAAUUGGUGUUUUAUAGGCUGUACGAUAUGCCCACAGUGCAUCAUUCAAAUGCAAGCUCCAAUCCUUCCGAGUUGGUCCAACUGUCCUCUCCAAAAUUUGCUUGAUUUCCCUAUUAGAAACCUCGGCUUGCCCACUUGUUUGAGGAUGAUAAGGUGUUGAAACCUUAUGUGUGACAUUAUACUUCUUGAGCAGCGCCUCAAUGGUUCGAUUGCAAAAAUGGGAACCCCUAUCACUUAUAAGUACAUUUGGCAUUCCAAACCUUGCAAAUAUGUUAGCUUUAAUAAAAUCUGCAACCACUUUAGAAUCAUUAGUACGGGUGGCUUUUGCUUCCACCCAUUUCGACAAAUAAUCCACAGCAAGCAAAAUAUAAAGGAAACCAUGUGAUGAAGGAAAAGGACCCAUGAAAUCAAUACCCCAAACAUAAAAAAUUUCGACAGAAAAGAUGGGGGUCUGCGACAUUUGAUCUUUUUCACCUAUAUUGCCCAUUCUUUGACAAUGAACACAAGUCAUACAAAAAGUUCUAGCAUCCUUAAAGAUAGUAGGCCAAUAAAAUCCACAUUCUAAAACCUUAAGUGUUGUACGUUAUGUACCAAAAUGACCUCCACAUGCAUAAGUGUGACAGAAAGUUAAAAUUGAAUUAAACUCCGAAUCAUGCACACACCUACGUAGAAUCUGAUCAGGGCAAUAUUUCCACAAAUAAGGGUCAUCCCAAACAUAAAACCGUGCAUCCUUUUUAAGUUUAUCAUGUUGGUGCUUGUUAAGGGUGCUUGGAACUUGUGUAGUCACUAAAUAAUUCACCAAAUCAGCAUACCAUGGCUCACUUACCUCAAUGGAUAGCAACUGCUCGUCUGGGAAUGUUUCUGGAAUAUGUAAUGGGUCUUCGUCAUGCACCAAACGACUCAAGUGGUCAGCCACCACAUUUUCACUUCCUUUCUUGUCUCGGAUUUCCACGUCAAACUCUUGGAGAAGUAACAUCCAGUGAAUAAGCCUUGGCUUGGCUUCCUUUUUCGUAAGCAAAUACUUCAAAGCUGCAUGACUAGUGUAAAUUAUAACUUUACUUCUAAGUAAAUAAGAACGAAACUUAUCUAAAGCAAAUACAACAGCAAGAAGUUCUUUUUCAGUGGUGGAGUAAUUCAAUUGUGCAUCAUUCAAGGUCUUGGAUGCAUAAUAGAUGACGCGUGGCUUCUUAUCCUUCCUUUGUCCCAAAACAGCCCCUAAUGUAUAAUCUGAAGCAUCGCACAUAAGCUUAAAAUGAAGGCUCCAAUCUGGUGGAACUAUGAUGGGGGUCGAAGUUAACAUCUCUUGGAGGUGGCUGAAAGCCUUCUCACAUUCCUCGUCGAAUUUAAAUGUCACAUCCUUUUGUAGAAGUCGGCAAAGGGGUUGGGAAAUCUUUAAAAAAUCUUUGAUGAAUCGCCAAUAGAAUCCUGCAUGUCCAAAAAAAGAACUAACCUCUCUCACCGAAGUGGGAGAGGGUAAGUAGCGUACAAGAUCUAUUUUUGUUUUAUCAACCUCAAUUCCCUUUGCUGAAACUAUGUGACCUAAAACUAUGCCUUGUUUAACCAUAAAGUGACAUUUUUCCCAAUUUAAAACAAGGUUAGUUUCAAUGCAUCGGUUCAAGAUUAAAGUGAGCUAAUCCAAACAACCAUCAAACGAAUCACCAAAGACACUAAAAUCAUCCAUAAAAACUUCAAUGAUCUUCUCAACAAAAUCUGAAAAGAUACUUACCAUGCAUCUUUGAAACGUGGCUGGUGCAUUGCAUAAACCGAAUGGCAUUCAACGAUAAGCAAAAGUGCAAAUGGACAAGUAAAAGUAGUCUUUUCUUGAUCAUCUAGAGCUAUAACAAUCUGAUUAUAUCCCAAAUAACCAUCAAGAAAGCAAUAAAAAGAAUGACCAGCUAACCUUUCAAGCAUUUGAUCAAUGAAUGGCAAAGGGAAGUGAUCUUUCCUUGUGGUGGCGUUGAGCUUCCUAUAAUCAAUGCAAACUCUCCAACCUGUUGGACACGAGUGGGCACAAGUUCAUUCUCUGCAUUCUUCACCACUGUGACUCUAGAUUUCUUUGGAACAACUUGAACCGGUGAAACCCAACGACUAUCCGAAAUUGGGUAGAUCACUCCACAAUCAAGAAGCUUGAUAAUCUCCUAUUUCACAACUUCCAUCAUUGGAGGGUUGAGUCAGCGUUGAGCCUCUUGAGUUGGUUUCGCCCCCUCCUCUAGAAGUAUGCGAUACAUGCAAGUUGUAGGGCUGAUUCCCCUAAUGUCGGCCAACGUCCAUCCAAUGGCUAUUUUGUGCUCUUUCAACACCCGAAUUAGUUUCUCAUCCUCCAUUGCCGUGAGUGAUGAAGAGACAAUGAUAGGUAAUGUCUCUUUAUCUCCCAAAAAGACAUACUUUAAAUGAUGCGGCAAUGGUUUAAGCUUAAGGAUGGGUGCCUGAAUCACAGAAGGUAACAACUUGUUAGUAGAAACGGGAACUGGAAUUGGGAUUGGAGGCUUACCAACAUGUUGUGGUAAUGACUCAAGGGCAGCAACCAUCUCGACAUUUACUGCAGGGAUAGGUUCGGCCAGAUUGGAUUUAAGCCCAAUUCCUUGUGCAAUAGUUAUUUCAAGGGCAUCCUCAUUCAAGGAAUCAAGGUAAUCUUGUGCCAAAGAAUCAAAUACAUCAAUAGAGAAACAAGAAUGAUCAUCUUUAGGAUACCUUAUAGUUUCAGAAAUAUUAAAAUCAAUAAUAUCGCCAUCAAAUUCCAUCGUUAAUGUCCCUUUGAACUCAUAUAUCUUGGUGCAGGUUGUUUUCAUGAAGGGUCUUCCAAGGAGGAUCAGCAAGGGUGUAGAAUGGGCAAACUCCUCCAUCUCAAGCACAUAGAAGUCUGCUAGAAAUAUUAAGUUGUUAACCUGCACCAAAACAUCUUCCAAAACUCCUUUUGGAUAUGCAUUAGAACGAUCGGCUAAUUGAAUUAUAACACCAUCGUUUUUAAGCUAUCCUAAGUUCAUAGAUGCAUAAAUAAAGUAUGGCAUGACAUUAAUGGAAGCACCUAAAUCCAACAUGACAUGUUCAAACUUGGUAUUUCCAAUGACACAAGGGAUUGUAAAACUACCUGGAUCUUUGCAUUUAGGUGGUAGUUUUCUUUGCAAAACAGCAGAGACAUUUUCACUUACCUGAACCAUUUCUUUGUUCAAAAUCCUCCUCCUUGUUGUGCAAAGCUCUUUUAAAAACAUAGCAUACCUUGGAACUUGCUUUAUUGCAUCAAGAAGUGGGAUGUUGACUUGUACCUUCCUAAAAGUCUCUAAGAUGUCUUUUUCAUUCUCUUCCUUCUUAGAUUGCAUAAACCUACGAGGGAAAGGCACAUUUGGUGGAAUUAGGUUGGAAUGGGUCGAAUUUGGAACAACCUUACCUGAAAGUGAUGGUUUGGGGGCCUUGGGAGGCUGCGGCAAGGUUUGUUCCACCCUUGUCGUGGCUUUGUCCACUUCAUCUUCUUCGAGCAGCAGCUUUUCGUCCUCUUUUUGACCUGAUGUGGACGUGUUUGGCUUGGUUCCAAUCUCUUUACCACUUCUCAAAGUGAUAUCCUUGGUAGUUUCAAAACCUCAUUUUGGAUUGACAAUGGUUGAGCUAGGUAGUUUGCCUUCUUCUCGAAACUGCCCCAUGAACUCCGCCAUCUGCCCAAGUUGCUUCUUCACUUCGCUCAUCUCCUUGGCUUGAUUUUGUUAGCCCUGCGUUAAUGAAGUUAGUAAUUGAAGAAGUUUAUCAUUAUCUAAUGACGAACCUGAGUUUGAUUGGGCAGAUUGUGUUGGAAGUUGUGGUGGUAUGAAUGGCCUUUGAUAAAGCCCAAGAGGUGGCUGUCUCUAUCCUCCUUGUUGUUGAGGUUGGUGAGGCUCCCUCCACUUGAAGUUUGGGUGAUCUCUCCAGCCCAGAUUAUAGGUGUUAGAGUAUGGAUCAUUCCGUGACUGAUUUUGGCCUUGAUAGCCCACAACAUUGGCACUUUCCCAUCCUCCAUUCUUUAUCAAUUGAGGGCAUUGAUCAUUGAGAUGUCCUUGCAUAGAGCACACAUCACAAACUGCCACACCUUGCACUUUGGUUCCAUCAACAAACUGUGACACAAGAACAAUGAGAUUAGCCAAUUGGGAUUGAAUUUCAAAAAUUGCACUUACCUCAUUCACUUGCUGUUGAUGCCGUGAGGGGUCUCUUCCUCCAAUUCCUUCAUAUUUUUGUGCAUUCAAAGCUCGAUUUGCAAUUAAGAUCUUUGCAGCAACUGAAGUAUUGUCAACAAAAGCACCUCCCGCUGAAGCAUUAAGCAUUUGUCUCUCAAUUGGAAGAAGUCCUUCGUAGAAAUAUUGAAUUAAAACCUUCUCCUUCAUCUGAUGUUGUGGGCAUGAUGCAACCAACGUCUUGAAACGCUCAUAAUAUGCUGGAAACGAUUGACCUUGGUUUUGUUGAAUGCCACUAAUCUUCUUCCUCAAAAGAAUGACUCUUGAAGUUGGGAAGAACUUCUCUAAGAAUGCUCUCUUCAUGCUUUCCCAAGAAGUGACGGUUCCAGGUGCUAAUUCGUAGAGCUAAUCUUUAGCCUUGUCCAUAAAAGAGAAUGGAAAGACUUUCAUCUUCAAAAUAUUCCCAUCCAUGUUGAUGGGUGUCAUACUUGAACAUACUACUUCAAAUUCCUUCAAAUGCUUGUUUGGAUCUUCCAUGGACAGCCCAUGGUAUUUGGGAAUAUGAUGCAACAAGCUUGACUUCAACUCGAACUCAUUGGUCUUACCUUGGGUUGCUGUAGGGUAUUGAAUGCAAAGAGGAACGACAUUGUCCAACCCCGAGGCUGAAAGUUCUUUGAUUGUUUGAUUAUCCGCAACUAUGUCUUGUUCCUCUUCCUCUACUUCUUCAAAUUCGGAUGCUAAUCUACACAAAUAUGACUCAAAAACACAAAACUAGACUUAGAAACACUCAACUAGACACUGAAACCUCAGAACAAACUAAACAGACUCUAAACAGCACAAUACUAGCAAAUAGACUCAAAAUAGACUCUAGGGAGUUAUUUGGAUGAAUUUAAGACUAGAAAGACUCAAAACACUAAAUUUGGACAAAUUUUAACAAGUUUCUAACUAAUCUAACACACUUAAUUAAAAGGGGGAUUGAUUUGGACGAAAUUUAACUAAACUAAACAGAUUGCAAAACAAAGUAAAUUAGGUGAUUUGAAUGGUGAAAAACUAGCCAGAUGAUCCUUCUCCACACAUGAAACAUAUGCAUACAUAUUGAUUUCCAGUAUUGUUUCUUUCAACCAUGAAUGACAAUGCCCCAAAUUAAUUGUGAAUGCACUAAUUAACUUUCAAAUUUUCCUAAGUUCAUUGAAUUUAAUGGAAAGCGCAUCGCAACCAAAUUAUUCUUCUCAAGUUCCCUAUAUGAACAGUAUGAUAGAGGUACCGAUCAAAAAUCAUUAAGUUCUAUGAAAAUCAUAAGCAUUGACAAGGCAUUCGUAACUAUAACUGCAUGAUACUCUUGCCAAGAAUUUACUUAACAUGACUGUGACUAGCAAUCUCCACUACUUUUAAUUAUAAGUUCAUAACGAUUAGGUGAAAUUCCCUUAUAUUAUAAUUUAGCAUCUAAUCCCUGCAUGCAAACUAAGUAUGCAUCCUUAAUAAACACACAAUAAUAAGUUCUCAAUAAUGCAGAUAAGUAAAUCACAUUCAUGUUUUACGAAACAAUAACUGAAGGUAAUCAAUUCAUAUAAAACAUAUGUCCAUGGCUUUGAAUUCACCUCCAACUAAAAAGGAAUUAGUUCCUCAUGUUCAUAAUAAUUGAAAAGCCAAGUAAAAUAAAACAUGGAAAUAAAACAAGGGAAGAAAGAACUCUAAAAAUCUCCAAUGGUUUCAGGUGGCUUGCGGAAUAACCCUUGUAUGGUUGCAUGACACAAAACUCCUCUUCUCCUUCCCUUCCUUGCUGUGGCACUUAAUGAAUUUCUGGGUAAUUGGCGUGAAUUGUGGUGUAGAAUUAUAUGGGGGGUGGUGGUAUGAAUUAUGCGGCAGAAACAUGUAUAUAUAUAGGGCUAGGCUUUUACGGCACCAACAUCUUGGAGAACAAGGAAAGGCUCGACCCAAUCCAAGGGGAAAAAGAAUUAGGGUUUUUAGCAGAUUUUAGGGUUUCUAGAAGAACAAAGGUGCGGCACUCUUUUAGGGAUUCCUUGGCAGAUUCCUAAGCUUUUAGAAGAGGAAGAGGCACCACCUUUCUAGGGGUUCUAGAAAGGGUGGUGCGGCAUAAGUCUAGGGCAGAGAUAAACCUUCUAGAAAUCAGAUAUUUAGGUCCCCUUGCAUCUAGAUUUAAGGUAUGAUUAGAUUAUGAUAAGAUAAGAUAAGAUAAGGUUAGUUUGGAUAAGAUAAGGUUGUAUAAGGUUUUGGAUAAUUUUCUUCUUUUUAGCUGAUUCCUUAUCUUCUUUGUCUUGAAUUUAUUUUCUUCAUCUCUUCAGCACAUUCCUAGCCUCUUGAACUUCAAAAACGUCCAUCCACCUUGCUCCAUGCAUAUGCUAUCCAUUCUUGGCCCAAAACUGCUCCAAAAUGCUCCAAAUUGCACUUUCUUGCCAACUUUGUCAUUUGAACCUAAAAACACACAAAAAUAGCUUAAAACACUCUAAUAAGUAGAAACUAGCUAUGAAAAUGCAAGAAAACAAGCUAACUAAGUCGCAUAAAUAUGCUCCUAUCAAUAGGCUAGGUUAGGGUUUCUUCUUUGUUUUUAGACUUUUUUACUUGGGCUUGAGAUUGGGCUAGGAUUGUGUUAAAUAAGACUAAUAAUUUACUUUCAAUUGGGCUUGAAAAUUAAAUACCCAACAUAUAUAAAAAAUAAAAUUAAUAUAUAUUAAUUCAAAUCGGUACGGUUUCUAAACCACUGAAACCGAAACCGAACCAAAGUAUUUUGGUUCGGUUUGUUUUUUACGGUUCGAUUUUCUUUGGUUAUCGGUUUUUCCAACCAACCCCUAUCUUAGACAUUCAUAAUCAUAAGAUUGCCUGCAUUGACAAUAGGUGCUCAAUAGAGAGUGAGUCCACUGAACACAAUCACCUAGGAGUUCUCAUACUCUGUCAUAUGAGAACUCACUAGUUGGGAUAAUGCAAAGUAAUCAUCUGACCUAAAACAUCAGAGUUGUUAUAUGGUUAGGUCUUUAAUCUUUGAUUAUGUUAAAGGCAUUCUAUUUGAGGGUGUCCACAACAUAGUUAGGGUUAAGCUACUAAUUAAUCAUGUACGCAUGUGAAUGUAUAAUAAAGGAUCUCUAACCUUCAAACCGUUGAGGUAGCAUACUCUAUGAUAUGAUCAAGAAUAUAUAGCCAAAGUAAGAAUGAAAUUUAGGAAGUUGUUCCAAAUCACAUUCAAGGUAGUUAGUGGCGAAGCCAACAUGGGGCAUUGAUUGCCACUAACCCCAAUAACUUCAAAUAUAACCCCUUUGAAUUUUUAUAUAACCUCUAUAAUAGCUAAGGCAAACAAAAUAGUGAGACCAUUUAUUAAUCUUUUUUAAAAAAACAUACCAAAACUAAAACCUUUCCACAAUAGGGAGAGAUUUUUUAGUGAUCAUUAUUGUAAGGAAUUCACAUCAUAUGGAAAAUCAAUGACUAAAUGAUACCUUUGUUGUAUACAACGAAAAAUGAAGGAAAAUCAAUGGUUUAAUGAUUACUUGGUUAUAUACAAUGAAAAAUGUAUUUGAUUCUAUUGAUAUUGAUAUUGUGAUACGACGUUCAAAAAUAUGGGAACAUGUAGAUACCAAUUAUAAAUGAAAGGCAAAGAUUGUUGUUUAAAGUCAUCUCACUAAAUGUUAUAAGCCUGAACGAUAAGUCCAAGGAAUAUUUAGUUAGGAGAAUGUGAUAUAAAGAAGUUAGAUUCAUGAGACCUUUCUUUGUACACAUAUACUAAACGUUCUUAAUCAUAGGAUUGCCAAUUGGGCAUUGACGAUCCUUAUAGAUCAAUACAUGCUAUGUCUUCUCUUCCAUUGGAGUGGCUAGUCUUGAGUCAUUGGUGUUAAUGACACCAAGACAAGUAUCUUGAUGCUUAAUAAAGAGUGAGUCCACUAAACACGAUCAAUAAGGAGUUCUCCUACUCAUGUCACAUAAGAACUCAUGAUUGGGAUAAUGUAAAGUAAUCCUUUAACCUGAGACACCAUAGUUGUCUUGUGGUUAGGCCAUUAGUCUUUUGUUGUGUUAAAGUGUUGGAAAUGUGCCCUAAAGCCAAUUAUAUGAUGAUACUUUACGGACAUUUCACAUGUUAAACUAAUCUAGUUGCAUAUAAAGGGCAAAAAUUAUUGUUUAAAGCCGUCUCUUAUAAUUGUUAUAUACUUAAACGAUAAGUCCAAGGAAUAUGUAAUUAGGAAAAUGUGAUCUAAAGAAGUUAGAUUCAUGAGAUCAUUCUCUUUUGUAUACAUAUCCUAAACAUUCCUGAUCAUAGGAUUACCAAUUGGGCAUUGACAGUCCAUUAAGAUCAGUACGUGCUAUGUCUUCUCUUAGGGAGAGUGACUGGUCUUGAGUCAUUGGUGUGACUGACACCAAGAAAGCAUGUAGGUGCUCAAUAGAGAAUGAGUCCACUGAACAUGAUCAACAAGGAGUUCUCAUACUCAUGUCACAUGAGAACUCAUGGUUGGGAUAAUGCAAAGUAGUCCUUUGACCUGAGGCAUCAUAGUUGUCUUAUGAUUAGGUCUUUGAUCGUUGACUAUAUCAAAGUCACUCCGUCAGGGACCAAAAUGAGUUUUGGUCCACAACACCCAUUUAGUUUAAGUUGUAUGACAACUAAAACAAAAUGCAAAUUAACAUAAAAAAAAAGGAAGCCAAAACCGGCCACACGAGAGGGAGGUCCGUUUGUCCCUUAAAGGAAGUGCCUAUUAUGUUUCACUUAAGUCACUUAAAGGAAGUGCCUAUAUAAAAGACAUUAUAACCUCAUCCCUCAUUAGGGUUUUCUAAGAGACAAAGAAAGAAAAACCCAAAGCUAUCUCCUUCCUCUAGGAGGCCAACUACCAUGGGAGUUUUAGCUAGCAAUCUUUGCUUCCAUGGUCACUCAUCUCCUUUCUCUACCAUCCUUGGUGUCGAAACUUAGAGGCUCUCCACUUUGGGAGCUUUUGGAGAAUCCUUUUCUUCCAUCCAAUCUAAGAUGACAUGGAGCCAAGAAACAAAGUUCCUCCAUCCACAUCCAUGGAGAUAAAGGAAUGAAGGUCUUCUCAUGGGUGAUUAACCUUUGCUAAGCCAAGAAGUAUUGUUGUAUUCCUUUCAAGUGCAAAUAUAAGGAUAGUAUAAUGGCACAAGUAAGGGUGUCGAACCACAGGGACUGAUUAGACCUCUACAAAUUACUAGCAUUAUGUGAACCCUAACUAAACAAUGAAAAUGCAAACUGAAUUCAGAUUUUUCAAUUGAAAACUAAAAUAACUUUAAAAUGCAACAAAGAUAAAGAUAAAUGAUAGGUUGAUUCUGAAAUAAUGGGAAUAUAACUAGGGAUACCGAUUUCACCAUUACAAGCCAAUUUCAUGAAAAUUAAGUCAAAUGCAUUCAACUCUCCAAUCUGCAACUAGGGUUCGUUUUACUCAUUUAUGAUCAUCUAUUUGAUGUGUGGUUGUGAUCAAGUACUCCUAAUCUGCAGCCUAGUUGUGAUGUUCAACAUAGAUUAGCAAAUAAGAAUCCAUUAAGAACAAGAAAACUUCAAAGAACCAAAGAAAUCACAUGGCAGGAUGUAUGCAUAGCAGUUUCUUCAUUCAUUCACAUGUCCACCAUGAUUAAGCAUGAUGUGUACUAUAACCUUGAUCAAAUAAUCUAUAAGAAACCCUAAUGGUGCUCAAACAUUAAGAGAAACAACCAAAUUAAACUAUAAAAUCUGUGAAUGAAACAAGAAAACAGAUUGAUGAAUCGAAUACUUUAACUUGAUAACAUAGAAUAGUUUACAAGGCUACAUUGAAUUCCCUAACUAUAAACUUAAUACACAUCAUGAUCACAGAAAAAUAUAAAUAAAAAGCACAACAUGAGUGAAAUUAAAUUCAUAGAAGAGCACGGUUGUGUGGUUUCUUCGGUGGCAACGGAUGGUGAAGGGAAAUUGGGUUUUGUUUCUGGAAGAAAGGCCAAAGAAAGAGAACAAAGAGAGCUCUGGGCAUCCCCCAAGGGGGGCUUACGGACAAGUGAUCUGAAACCAUAGUAUUUAUAUGCCAAAUGGGGCUGCAGCUGAUUGCCAGGUGAUCCCUACCAUUAAGCCAAGGUUUUGAACGUUUUUCCUUAUUUGGCUCAUCCAAAUCAGGCUAGAUAUUCCAAUUCCUUUCCCAUUCUGCUCUUGGUCUUCUAACCAGCUAGAUUCGCUUUGGAUUCUUUACUUGGGCUUCACAACAAGCCACUAAACUACUUUCCACGUUUGAAUAAGGGUCAGCCCAAAAAGAUGGCAUGUUUUCACUUCUUUUGAUUUCAAAUUGAUCCUAAAAUGCAUGUAACUGCACACUGAUACAAAAUAGAGUGAAACACAACCGGUUUUACUCUAAAACGUCACAAAUAGACUAGGAAUGGAUGAUAUAAAUGCAUGAAAUAUAUGAGUUAUCAAGUAUUUCAAAGGUAUAAAAUUUCUCAACUCUCUUUGUGAUUAGAGCUGAGUCUUUGUUCACCACCACUACUAGGCUUUGGAUUUUGUCGUUUAAGUUUUAUUUUAAAGUGCAUACAAGCAUGCUUUCACCAUUUAAUUGUUAAAUGCAUGUAUUAUGUUGCUUAAUGAACUUAAUUUCUCAAAUAUUUUUCAUGUUGCUUAAUGAACUUAAUUUCUCAAAUAUUUUUCUUCAUUGUUAAUAUGAGAUCCUUUUUAAGAUUCAUUAUAAUCAAUAGGAUGGAGCCCAUUUUCAGUGUUCAAAUACAUAGUAGAAAGUGUUGAAAUUUUAAUUGGGUAUUUCAAAAUACAAUUCUUCAACUAUCACUUUAAUACUAUUCAAUCUAUUUUUAAAUUCCUAAUUUCAGUUUUGAUUUGUAAAACUGAAAAAUGAUGCAUUAUAACAUUGAAGUAUAAUGAAUGGUUUUGAAUUACAUCUGAUGGACUUUGAAUUACAAAUGUGGUGCUUCCUAAUCAAUCAUCUCUUUAAUCCUCCAACAUCCUUUUGUCCUCUCUUCUGUUAAUAUCAUGUAUUCUCUCAAAUGCUAUUAUAAUUUCCACCUCUUAUGUGCCAAAGGAAAGAAUCAGGUUGUUCAGUCGAUCCAUGUAUUGCGAGUGUAUGCUUAUAAGGAUCAUAGGUUGUUGUAUCCUAUAGGAUAGGGGCGCCAUAACCUACUACAUCGAGACGUUGUCUUAGAGGAGGCGAAAUCUACUCUUAAGGAUAAUAAUUACACGCCUGAACCGACAAAGUUGUUCUAAUCAAGGAUGGAAACGAAGAGCAUUCUCUAUCUACAAAAGAUAAGUGUUUUGUCUUAAUUCGGUUCUUUUUUUUUUUAAUAAAGUGUGGUGAUAAAAUUGUGAUAUAUUAAUAUUAAUUUUAUGUAAUUUGUUGUAGGAGAAGUAGCAUCCGUAUUGUCAAAUAUUUUUCAACAGGAGAAAGGAACCAAAUUAAAAUCUAUCUAGUUAAGUUUUGUACCAAUUAGACAAUGAGUUGUGAGAGAGACUGUUGAUGAAACCCUAUAACCUUAUGCUAUAGCAUGCAGUAGCUGCAGUAGACAGACAUAAAAACAUCCAAAAGAAAAGCUCCACGAUGCACAAUAUAUAACUAGCCUAACUAUACACGUGCGGUGCAGACCCAUAUAUAGUUCUAAAAGCAUUCACGUGGACCCAUUAGCACACGUGACACCAGUGUUUUCCAGCACUACCAUCCAACUUUUGAAUUUUGCGUUUCUUAUACAAGUCCAAGUGAUGCAUUAAAUGACCGUGAAGGUUACCAAACCCUACAACUAACUUUCUAGGAUUCUCUCCCCUCCUAAUCUUUGUGUCCUACUCUCUUCUUCUACUUAAAUGGUUAUGAUUAAGUCACGUCAACGCCUUAUAUUGAUAUUUCUACAGGGAUAAAAACAAAAGAAAAAUAAAAAGCAAAGUGUGAGAGGAGAGAAGAAAUCAAUAUAAGGCAUUGACAAAGUAUGGGAGAGAAGAAAUCAUGGGAGGGAAGGGAAAUUGGAAUGAGAAUAGAUGAGAAGAAAAUUUUACUCUAGCUCUCAAGGACUUUGCUACGAGUUGGAGUUUUAGCUCAAAUACUUGGGGCCACUUUCAGAUUAAAAAAAUUGAUGUUUGGGAAAAAAUUUAUGAAAAAAAAAAAGGUAGUUGCACGUUUUGAUAAAUUAAAUACUAUUAGAAAAACAAAGAAUGUGGAUGCACUACUGUCACAAUUUAUGAGAUUACUAAUGUCUAAGGCUUUACUAAGACUCUUAUUUGCUACCCUCUCCCAUGAAGCUAGUGAAUUUGUCAAAGUAUGGAUUGGAAUGAGAACACUUUGGCAACUAAAAGGCCAAUUAAAUCGUUAAAAAGAUGGUAGUAGGUUUUAGGACUCAACUAAUUAACUCAAAAUAUUCUAAAAUUUUUUCUAGAACGAUAUAUUUAUAUUAAGUGAGUGUAAAAAUAAAUUAGUUACGAACUCGUCAUUCUUCAAAUUUAAACCUAUGACCUCUUACAUAAUACUAAUAAUUUAAAUAUACGGGGGUUUCACCAUAUUUGACCUUCGAAUCUUGUGCAAGUGUAACACAAAAAGUCUUAUAUUUUGUGUUGAAAAUUUUAAUCAAAACCUAUAAAUCAUCUGUAAGUUUUCGGCAUUUAAGUCAAUUGUUUUCAACCUUCUUAUAUCACGAUAGCUCUCAUAUUUUGUGUACUUAGUAAAAAUUAGUCCCUUAAUUUAGAGAUGAGAAUAAUAGCCUCUUGUCAAAGACACAUGUAUAUAUAUAAAACGAAUAUUUGUAAGAAAGAAAGAAAUGAAAGAGUACUCAAUACUGAACAACAUAUUUGAUUUUGACAUGCAUAAAAAAAUCUUUAGAGGCGUGUAGUGCUCGUGAUCCUAAGAAAACCUCUCAUACACGUUUGAGCUACAAUAGAGAUGCUAGUAUAUACCAAAUAAGUUGAAUGAGCAGUUAGUGCAAUUGGUUUAAAAGGCUUUGUAAGGUUACAUAAUUCCUUGGAAACAAAAAGAUAUUUUUUUCUCUGUUUAUAUAUGGGCCAGACUUGUGAUUGUCCAACUCUAUUAAGCCCAUAGCAAUUGAGUUUUGUGCUUUGUCAUGGUGUGAAUUACUACCCACCUAUUGGGGGUGGGGUUUCCUUACUUAUUCAAGGGCUUAAGAUGUGUUUAAUUUACAACUAAUCACUUAAAUACCCUACAUAGUUACAAGCUCACUCUACCAGAUUAGGCUAAGCAAUUAAGUUUUUUUUUUUAUUUAUUUAUUUAUUUUUAUAUUAAUAUACAAUCAAUAUUACUACUUAAAUGUAUAAUUGGGGGAGAUAGAGAGUUUAAUCCAGGGACAUAGUGUAGACCUGACAUUUGUGUCAUCUUUUCCGUGUUCAUAUCGUUUUCGUGACAUACCCAAUAUCUUAACGGGUCAUGUCGUGUAACACCUGUUAAAGUAAAUGGGUAAUAGGACCCGACCUAAAAUCGACUUGUUAAUAUUGUUAGGUAAUAUGAUCCGACCCGUUACCCAAGAAAAUAUAUUUUAAAUCAAUAACUAAUGAAAAUGAAAAACAUAAUUUGACUCAUUGCAUCCCGCAUUGUCACAUAAUAUUUAUUUAAAAAAAAAAAAAAACAUUUGUCUUUCAAGUAUUACAUACUCCAAAAUAAGAGUGUGACGACCCAUCCCAGUUUAUUAUAUAAUUUUCUCCUCAAGCGUGUAAAGUGACGAAUAUGCCCUCGUUGGCUAAGUGAUGUGGAUGUGUAUAUGCAUUCAUAAUUAAAUCGUACUCGACGUCGUGAGUGUGUUGAAGUGAGUUAGAACUUAAUUGAAGCCGUAACAAAAAAGUUACGAUUAUUUAGGUGCGUAAAUGGGCAAAUUCUAGACCAAUUAUAUGGGCUCCUAUUUCUUUUAGCCCAAUCAGAUAAUUUGUUUUUCUUCUUUUGGGCCAAUUAAAAGUAGCUCUCUCUCUCUCUCUCUCUUAGCCAAUCAGAACACACACAUACACACACACUCACUCACUCUUCCUUCUCUAUCUCCUUCACUCUUCUCCCUCCAUACACCCGAGACACCCCACAUACACAACCAUCAUCAAACUCACAUGGAUCAAACUUUUGGAAACCACCGCCAUCCUUUUCUCUACCACACGAUCACCACCAUACCCUUAGUUUUCCGUUUUGGUGAGUUUUAGCUCGGAAACCAAAAGCUCCGACGAGGAGUUAGUUUGCUCCGGCUCGAUCACAGACGAUUUAAGGUUUUGAGGCUCGGGAUGGUCUGUAUACAACUUCCUUAACACUUCAGAGUAGAUUUGGAGUGGAGUGGAUGGCGGAAUAAGUGAGUUCAAAAAGUUGCAAUGGCCGGAUUUUCCAAGGAAUGUUUGGAUCAUUUUUCGUUGGAUUUUGGACUUCUAAUAGGUACGAACAUGUUCUACCCUUAGAGACCUUCAAAUCCAUAUAAAUUUCAUGGAUUUUGGUUAAGAAAUGAAGUAGAUAUAAAGCUUUGAAAAUUUUCUAGAAACCGACGUGAGCACGCAGCAGCUGGCGGCAUACGGCGGAGACCGGAGGGUGACCAAAGAAGAAGAAGGUAUAUUCAGUUAACUUUAACGGAAAAUUCUAAUGGCGUUAGGUAACGCCGUUACCAUUUAACGGAAUAUUCGACCAAUUUUGAAGGAAUAUUCCUAACGCCUUUAGGGUUUCUGUCAGUGUGCCUGCGUGUGGCCGUGCCUUGGCCGACGCAUGAGGGCACAUCCAAUAUCCAAAAAUCUUUCUAAAAAUUUGUGUGGGCUCGUAUCAUCGAGUAGAUCACGUUCGUAUAUUCAAACCUUACAUUUGAGCAAACUAUGAGGAGUUAUUCCUGGAUUUCGUAUAUGUGCUAAUUAAUUAAGGUAAAAAUAGUUGUAUCGCAUAUAGGUGAGAUGUACCCAGAGGACGAGUGUGGACAAGCAAAGCUAAUGGGCUAUGAUCCUGCUACUUAUCAGUCAUUGGGCAUUUGUUUUCUAUAUAUAUAGUUUCCAAAAACGUUUUUAUAUGGAACUAUGCUUUGCUUGCCAUGUCGUAAAUAAGUUACAUUUUUAAUAUUGCAUUGGUACACUUGUGAAUUGUAUUGUGUGAUGCUGCGAAGACUCAGGUAAGAUUCAGGUGAGUAUUAUGUGAUUGAAUGGGUUGUAUUUGAUAGGAGCAUAUUUAUGCGACUUAGUUAGCUUGUUUUCUUGCAUUUUCAUAGUUUGUUUGUGUUUAUUAUAGUGUUUUAAGCUAUUUUCUUGUGUUUGUAGGUCUAUAUGACAAAGUUGGCAAGAAAGUGCAGUUUGGAGCAUUUUUAGGCAGUUUUGGGCACCAAAUGGAUAGCUUAUGAAUGGAGUAAGAUGGAUGGACGAAUUUGAAGUUCAAGAGGCUAGGAAUGUGCUGAAAAGAGUGAAGAAAUAAAUCCAUGACAAUGAAGAUAAGGAAUUAGCUCAAAAGAAGGAACAUUAUCCAAACUAGCCUUAUCUUAUCUUAUCUUAUCCUUUCCAAAUCAGUUUGUGCCUGAAUUCUAGCUAUUUCGAAGGGAUAAUUAUACAAAUAAAACACAUUAAAAUUGGUUUCUAGAAGCCCUUAUCCACUCCUACAAAGGUGCCGCACCUUAUCCCUUGUUUUUCUAGGAAAUCAGCCACAAAACAACCUUUCUAGAAGGCCUUAUCUCUUGUCCUACAAAUCUGGCGCCUGGACCCUUUCUAGAAGCUCUAGAACCUGCAAUCCUUUUCCUUUCAGAUUUGGGUGAACCCUAGUCCUUUUCCUUCAUGAAUUGUGCCAAAUACACAUUCCUUUCCUUCAGAAAUUCGUGGGUUUCCCUAGCCCUAUAAAUACAAAGCUUUGUGCAGCAAUUAAUCCACCACCCUCUACCAUAAAUCAACUACAUCCAUCCACCACACCAUCCACCACAAUCCUCUUGUGCCGCAGCUAAGGAAGGAGAAGAAGGAGCCAUCUGGAGUGUUUCUAGGUGUAUUCUAUCUUUGUUUUCAAUGUUUAAUUCAAGUUAUCUUUGUUUAAUUGAGAACAUGAGGAACUAAUUUCUUUAUAGUUAGAGGGUAAUUUGAAACCAUGAUAUACUUGCAAUAUGAAUUGAUUACUUUCAAUUGCGAUUUGAUAAAUUGUGAAUGCAAUUCGCUUAACUGUUUUAUUCAAAACUUAUUCUUGUACGUUGAUUAAGGUGGCCAACUUAGUUUGCAUGCAUGAAUUUGAUGCUAGAAUAUAAGGGAUUUUCACCUAAUCGUUAUGAACAUAAUUCACAAGUAGUGAAGGUUGCUUGUCACAAUCGCGUUAAGUAAAUUCUUGGCAUAAGUUUCAUGCAAUUCAUAGUUACAAGUGCUUCGUCAAUGCUUAUGAUUUUCAUAGAACUUAAUGAUCUUUGUUCAUAUCUUUAUUAUGCAAUUCAUGUAGAGAACUUGUGAAGAAUGCUUUGGGUUGUUGUAUGCAAUCAUCCAAUUCAAUGAAAUUAAGAAAAUUUGAGGGUUAAUUAGUGCAAUUCACGGUUAAUCUGGGGCGUUGAGGUUCAUGGUUUAUUGAAAAGCAAUUGGAGAUUGAUUUGUAUGCAAGUGUGUCAUGUGUGAAGAAGGACCUUCUAGCUAGACCAUCACCCAUCCAAUUUCCCAAUUUUCGUCCAAAAUCUGUUUUACAUUUUAAUUUGUUUGUUUUACUUUAUUUUCGUCCAAAACCCAAUCCCCCUUUACUUUGAAGUGUUAGAUUAGUUAAAAUCUGUUUUGGUUUGUGUUAUUAAGUGUCUUGAGUCAAGUUAAAACCAAUUUUCGUCCAAAUAACUCCCUAGAGUUAGUUUUGAGUCUAUUUGGUUGUUUUGUGCUGUUUUGAGUCUUUUAAGUUUGUUUGGAGUCUUGUGAGUCUUGUUAAGUGUUUUUAAGUUUAUUUUUGUGUUUUUAAGUCAGUUUCAAUUAGAUUAGCAAUCCCUCCUAAUCCCCGGUCCAGAACGAUCCCUACUUAUACAUAUACUACAAUUGUCAAAAGAGGGUUUAAUUUGUGGCUUAACUUUUAUCACAUCAGUAUUGCAUUGGUAUGCACAUAUUUAUUUAGAGCUCAUCAUGGCUGCACCCUGGUAUUAAUGUUCCCACCCAGGGCUAGGCUUAGCUUUCACGUGAUUGUUCACCUCCCACACCGCAAGCUCACCUUGGAUCCAAGUUUGGUGCCAUCAUGUCGUACAGACCACAUAGGUGGUUCCGACUCGUAGGUGACCCGCGAAUUAUUGAACAGCCUUCACGUGAUCGUAGUACUUAAGCCUACAUAUUUAUACCUAGCCUGUCAUAUAGGUCACAUUAGGUGACUCCGACUCGUUUGCUAGCCUAGAUUGAUGAGCUACAGGUCACGUUAGGUGACUCCGACUGGCAUACUAUUUUAUAUUGGUUUCACACCUGGCUUACAUUUAUUAUUGCUGAGAUAUUAUGACAUGGCAUACUUCAAUUUUCGCUGCUCUUGUGCAUUAGUUUUCAUACCUACGUAGUAGUAUUUUCUAGAAACUAUACGGGUUUUACGGAGAGGGUUUAUUAUUUUCAUAAAGAUAAAUACAUUUUCAAACGCUUUGUUUUUUCCCAUUCACCCUUCUGUUUUGCGCCCCUCCAGAUUCUAGGUAGUUGUUCAUCUUUGGUGGCUCACGAGGACUACUUGGCGGUUCUGAUGUUCUACUAAAUAAAGGUAGGGAUAUUCUCCCUGUUUGUAUAAUUAGUACUUAGUUAGUUCAACUGCACUGUUGUUUUACCUAUGCUCUGAUAUGCAUGUAUCUUAUACUUGAUCACUUUUACACACCUACAUAUUAUCUCUAGUUAAAAAGGUUUAGUUUUGGUUUUUAUUUAUUCGCAUUUUCUUAUUAUUAUCACUUCUGUUGCGCACUUGGCUAUAUCACCCUCACGUGACGACCAACACGUCUCGACUCCGGCCAGGGUGUGUCAGUUUGGUAUCAGAGCCUAGGCUUAGCAGUCCUGCGUUCUUCAUUUAUGUUAUAAAUUUUAAUCAUUUUUUAUCUCUUAUGUCAAAACCAUGUCGCCUCGUAGAGAGCCACAUACUUCUUCUGAGUCUGAUUUUCCUGAUAUUGGACAACUUGGUGAAGCUAUUGCUAGUGUUAUUCAGUCAUCACUCUGUCCUCCCCAAAGGGACCCCUUGGAGACUGUAUAUAACUUGAAGCUAAAUGAUUUCUUUGGCAAUGAGGGGUCAGGGGGAGCUGAGCUUUGGCUCGACCAUGUUGAGAAAACCUUUCAGGUGAUGCAACGACAUGGAAAUCUUUCAGAGAACAGAUACGUCGAAACAACCACUUGGUUCUUGCGUUUGGAGGCUGCAUCAUGGUGGAAAUAGGAAUCCUAUCCAUUAUCAGCUGAAGGUGCCACAAAUUGGGAGAUUUUCAAGCAUCUAUUUCAGAAGAGAUUUAUACCUCUGGAGUAUUUGGAUCAUAAAAGGGAUGAAUUCUUGGGACUGAGGCAAGGGAAAAGGUCAGCCACUGAGUACCAUUGAAAGUUCACUGAUUUGUCCCGAUAUUAUCCAGAAAUCCUGCUGAGAUGCUCUGACGUUUUAAAAAGGGUACUCGCAAAAAGUUGCGUUCUAUGACGACUUCGACUCCCUAUUCUACAUAUCAAGAAUUCUUUGAGGUUUUACUCCAGGUUGAGGAUUUCGAGAAUGCUCUGGAUGAUAGUGAUAAGGAUAAAGAAAAGGGUAAUGCUUAGAAAAAUAAUGCUAGUAAAGAUAAAGGACAGUCCUUCUACGAUCCUCGUAAAGCACAUAAUUUUAAGCAAAGUGGCAAUAGUUCUGGUUCAUCAAGUGGUGGUUCAAAUUUUGCUACGCCAUGGAGGGGCGGCAGGUUCACAGGUGGUUCCCGAUUUCAGAGGUAGAGAAUGUUGGAAAUGUGCCCUAAAGCCAAUCAUAUGAUGAUACUUUACGGACAUUUUACAUGUUAAACUAAUCU
rnacentral:lncRNA from 1 species